CGGUAACAAACAAAGCAACCUUUCAUGGAGAGAAACUUUAGUCUCAGUAUGAUCACUGUGUCAUUAACCCACUUCCUGCUUCUUUGCUUGGUUGUUGCAGCAGCAGCAGCAGCAGCAAGCAACAAUAUUACCACAGACCAACAAGCUCUUCUUGCCCUGAAAGAUCAUAUAACUUAUGAUCCAACCAAACUUUUUGCCCAUAAUUGGACCUCGAAUACCUCUGUUUGCACCUGGAUUGGCCUCAGUUGUGAUGUCAAUAGCCAUAGAGUCACAGCCUUAGAUAUUUCUCAAUUCAAUAUACAAGGCACCAUCCCUCCUCAACUUGGAAACCUCUCUUCACUCACAACACUUAAUCUUAGUCGUAAUAAGCUUUCUGGAAGCAUUCCCCCCUCCAUCUACACCAUGCAUACGCUAAAAUUUCUAGACUUCACUGAUAACCUGCUCUCUGGUUCAGUGUCUUCCUCCGUCUUCAACAUGUCUUCAAUAUUAGACAUUCGUUUGACCAAUAACAGACUUUCUGGUGAGCUUCCGAAAAAUAUUUGCAACUAUCUUCCUUACUUGAAAGCCCUUUUUCUGGACAAAAACAAGUUGCAUGGCAAAAUUCCUUCAGCUUUAUCAAAUUGCAAACAACUGCAACAAUUGCAUUUGCAGUUCAAUAAUUUAUCCGGUGCAAUACCGAAAGAAAUCGGCAACUUGACUAUGCUCAAAUGGAUAGAUCUCGGCUACAACAAACUCCACGGUAUGUUUCAUAAUGCUAUCUAAAUAUUUUAAUUUAUCACUUGUUUAUUUUAAUUUCUCACUUGUUAUUUUUCUUGAAUACUUUAGAUAAGAUCUAGUAAGUGAGAUUUUUUGCAUCUAUGUUAAUUUACCAGGUGAGAUACCCCCCGAAAUCGCUAAUCUUCGAAAUCUAGAGGCUUUGGUGCUUGGAAUGAACAACCUAGUGGGUGUGUUACCAGCUACAAUCUUCAACAUGUCAACACUGAAGGUAGUUAUCCUCAUUAAUAACUCUCUCUUCGGAAGUCUCCCAUCAAGAAUAGACCUUUCACUUCCAACUAUUGAGCACCUUAACUUGGCACUUAAUAGAUUUUCUGGAACCAUUCCUAGUUCCAUCACCAAUGCUUCUAAGCUCACCUUUCUAGAGUUGGGAGGAAACACAUUUUCGGGCUUUAUUCCGAACACAAUUGGUAAUUUAAGAAACCUUGAGUGGCUCAGCUUGGGUAAUAACUACUUGACAUCUUCAACCUCAAAAUUGAGCUUUCUUUCCUCUUUGGCAAAUUGCAAGAAAUUAAGAGACAUAGGCUUAACAGGCAAUCCACUCGACGGUAUCCUUCCAAGUUCAAUAGGUAAUCUUUCCAUGUCUUUGAAAACACUUUACAUCGGCAAUUGCAGUAUUAGUGGCAACAUUCCUCAAUCAAUUGGCAAUUUAAGCAACUUAUUGGCCUUAGUAUUAGAAGGCAAUAAAUUGACCGGACCAAUCCCAACUACAUUCGGCCAACUGCAGAAACUCCAAGGCUUAUUUCUUACAUUCAAUAAGUUGGUAGGUUCAUUCCCAGAUGAGCUUUUCCAUCUAGCUAGGCUGGAUAAAUUGGUAUUAUUGGGAAAUAAGCUUUCAGGAUCUAUGCCUUCAUGCUUAAGUAACCUCACUUCUCUGAGAUCUCUCUACUUAGGGUCCAAUAGGUUUACUUCUGUUAUUCCCUCAACUUUCUGGAGCCUAAAAGACAUCUUGUUCUUUGACUUUUCAUCAAAUUUCUUGGUUGGUACUCUUUCUUUCGACAUAGGUAAUUUGAAGGUGCUUCUAGGAAUAAGUUUAUCAGAAAAUAACUUAUCGGGUGAUAUGCCAGCCACAAUUGGAGGGAUAAAAAAACCUUCAAAUUAUGGACCUAGCAUAUAAUAGAUUGGAAGGGCAAAUUCCUGAAUCAUUUGGUGACUUGACAAGUUUGGAGGUUUUGAAUUUGUCAAAUAAUAAAAUCUCUGGGUCUAUUCCAAAAUCCAUGGAGAAACUCUUUUACCUCCGAGAGUUAAAUCUCUCUUUCAAUGAACUAGAAGGUGAGAUUCCUAGUGGAGGAAUUUUUGCCAACUUCACAGCUGAGUCAUUUAUGGGAAAUGAGUUAUUGUGUGGUUUACCAAAUCUUCAAGUCCAACCAUGCAAAGUUAGCAAGCCGAGGACAGAACAUAAAUCAAGGAAAAAGAUACUUCUCAUUGUGAUUGUUUUGCCAUUGAGUAUUGCUCUAACAAUAGCAAUCACUCUACCUCUCAAAUCUAAGCUGAUCGAAUGUGGAAAAAGAAGCACAGUGUUGUCAAAUGAUAGUGUCUUGUCAUCACAAGCAACACUAAGAAGAUUUUCAUACUUAGAACUUUUACAAGCAACAGAUAAUUUUGCUGAAAACAACGUAAUUGGCAUAGGAGGUUUUGGUUCUGUUUACGGUGGAAGACUUGAAGAUGGGAUGAAGAUUGCAAUAAAAGUGUUUCACCAGCAAUGUGCAAGCGCAUUGAAGAGUUUUGAGGCUGAAUGUGAAGUGUUAAAAAAUAUUCGCCAUCGAAACCUUAUUAAAGUUAUCAGCAGUUAUUCAAACAAUGACUUCAAAGCAUUAGUUCUAGAAUACAUGUCCAACGGGAGCUUAGGGGACUGGCUGCAUUCUAGCAAUUAUGUGCUGAAUAUAUUUCAGAGGUUGAACAUAAUGAUUGAUGUUGCAUCAGCUUUAGAACAUCUCCACUUCGAUCAUUCGACUCCUAUUAUUCAUUGUGACUUAAAGCCUAGUAAUGUAUUGUUGGACGGAAAUAUGGUUGCUCAUUUGAGUGAUUUUGGCAUAGCAAAGCUUUUAAGUGGAGAGGAUGAGUCUAUGAUGCGAACAAAAACCCUUGCCACUAUAGGUUAUAUGGCACCAGGUUUGCUUCAAACAACUUUUUUUUUUUAGUUCAUUUUAAAUUUUGCAACUUAUUGAUUUUUACGAUCCUCACAUCAAAAUGUUAUUGAUUAUUUAUCUAAUUUUGAAAUUAAUUUGAUUCAUAGAGUACGGCAUAGAAGGAGAAGUAUCUACAAAAAGUGAUGUUUACAGCUAUGGGAUUAUGUUGAUGGAAACUUUUACCAAGAAAAAACCCACAGAUGAAAUUUUUGUUGGAGAAUUGAGCUUGAAGCGUUGGGUUAAUGACUUGCUUCCUACUUCAUUAGUGGAAGUUGUGGACAAAACUCUGCUAAGUGGAGAGGAAAAACAUUCUGCAGCAAAGGAGCAAUGUCUGUUGUCUAUCUUUAGUUUGGCUCUGGAGUGUACAAUGGAAUCACCGGAAAAGAGGAUUAAUGCAAAAGAUAUUGUUACAAGAUUACUCAAGAUAAGAGACACAUUGAGUAAAAGGAUAGGAAAUUUAAGUUAAUUUCGUUUGCUUUCAUUGAUAGUUAAUUCGAAUUCAUGUAAUAAGUCUAAGAAUCUUAUAUCUUCAAAUUCGCAUUUUAAAAUGCACAAAUGUUUGUGUAUACAUAAUUAGUAAUCGAUUCUCAAGCUUUGGACAUUUAAAAGCACUGCUAAAAGACAAAAUUUUAAUUCACUAUUUUUUUGUCUUUUAAUUUUCUUUAAGUUUUAAUGAUUCCGCAUUUUAAAAUCCUGUGGAACGUGCAUGUAAAAUUCUUUUAUCUUUUAGAGGAAAAUGGGCAAGAGAAGAAGAUUUGGCAAAGGAAUUGCAACCGCAUUUGGAGCUAGUUUUAAUUUUGUCUUUUAAUUCUUUUACACUUGGCUUUUGUUAUUGAUGUUAACUUCGAUGUGUGUGCGUGUGCGACUGAAUUCAACUUACAUGCUAUUGAUGCAGCCACCAAAAAGGGGUGGUCCAUCAUCAAUCAACAAGGUUUAUUAUUAUUAAUUUCCAUAUUGAUUUUCUUAAUUAUAAAUAAUACUAAUGCUAUUUCAUAGUUAUAAAUAUAUUAGAAUUAAUCGAAAUCAUUUUUUAGUGUGGCAUGGCUAAAACUACCUUUUUUUUAUUAUAAGUAAUUACUACUUUCACAUUAAGAAAAAUACUCCUAUUUUUAAGGAAAAGUCAAGUACCUGUAGUUGUGAAGACUCGAGCUCACUCCCUUAUGAUAAAUCUUCAUAUUAAUUACGUAAAUAUCCUCUAAAAUUUUAAAUUAGCUAUUCAAAAUUUGAUGUUAUACGGGUAUUUCAUUUAUUUGAGUAGGGGUUAGGGGUCAAUUGGAUACAAAUUCAAAAUUAUCCUUACUUGAGAAGGUGAUAAAAAUUGGGGAUUUAGUUUGGAUGUCAUUAGCUACAAAUAUUAAACUCAUACAUUUAAUUCAAAAUUAGAGGGCUGAUAUAUGCGCAUCAUCGUCCACGUUAUAGUGACACUGCGUCACCAUUCCACAACCUCUCCAAUGAAAAAUUGACAUGCUUCUUGUGCGCAUCUAAUCAGAAUCUUGAAAAUUAAUCACAAAAUUGUACUUUUAUUAUAAAAAGAAUAAAGAAACUCCAAGAAAAAAAAAAGACUUACAUAAAUAGAUUGAAAAAUCUAGAUUUCAAGUUGUCUAUAUUAGCUUGAUAUUUUUAUUAAUAGUCAUCCUCCCAAAAAAAUUCCAUCAAAAUAUAUUUUAAUUUUAUGUUAAUUCAUAAACUUGAAAAAAUCAUUUUAGAAUUAAUUAAAACAUAAUUUAUUGUUGCUCAAAAAAGGUAGAACUUAGUUAUCAGAAAAAAGUGUCUAAAAUAUAUGUUAAAAAAAAAUCAUGGUUGGUUGGACUGAUUGAAUUUUUUUUUCUUUUUUAAGAAUUAAGACAAUUGGAUGGAUUGAGUAAUAAUAAUACAUAUUUAUUUGGCAAAUGGCAGGGAGGCUUUCGUCUGAUGCAGAUUGAUUAGAGAGAAAAUAUAACAAUUUUAAGCUCGUCAGAUUCGAAGCUGCUUACCUGUCGUGUGGGGAUCACUUCCGUGUCUUAUUUUUCUAGAAAAAUCUGGACCAUUGGAUUUACCAUUAGUCAAUAGAGAAAUGUUGAUCUUGAUUCUUGAUCAAGAUCGAAGUUUGAUUCUAACUAACACGAUAUCAGAUUGCGAAGCAAGCAAAUUGAAAGUCACUUGUUCUAUGGAAGAAACACAAGUUCUAAUAAAACAUUCUCAUAGUAAAGUGAAUUACCAUCCAACGAUCCAACUCAUGUUUUCAAAUUGUAAAUUGCAAAUCGUGUGUUUGCUCCAUUACAGAGUUUCUUCAAUCUGAAAUAGCGAAUCAUUUGUGUUCUAGAUUAAUCGUGGGUCUAUAUCCAAAUCUAAAAAUUGACUAACUUGAUUUCUAUUAAAUUCUUAAUCCUAACAAGAAAAAUUGAAGAUUAAAAACGACUAAUUUGGUACCAUACCACUAUUGUAACAUAGGUAGAUCCUCUAUUAAUUGGAGUAAAGAUUGAAUUAUCUCAUUUAUUAAGGUUUAUCAAAAUCUUGUGUCAAAAUCUAUUAAUGAUAUAGGUUCAAGGAUGAAAAAGUCACUGCAUUACUUUUGAGUUCCCAAAUAGAUGAAUGGAUGUUAUUUUUAGAUUCCGGAGAGUCGAAAAUAUUAAGAUAGGUGCUAAAUCGAAUUAAGUUGUAGAUACGAUAGAAAUGGAUUUGGAGAGAUUGGAAUCCUAGGUAAUCCGGUGCACGUUGUCGUGUUAAAUUCUCGUUGACUUCACGUUGACUGAAGCAUUAUUGGAAGAAACAAGUUUAUUGAUGUGAGGCCUUUGAGGUUGUAAGUGUUAAAUAUGAGAAGAAUACCCACACACCCAUUAUCCUAUUACUCUUAUAUCACAUGAAGAGAAUUCAACAUUUGAUUCACACGGAAAAAAUUUGUGAGGAUUGUGAGGGUUGAUGGAAUAUAAUUUAGAUACAAAGUGUUUUACCAGUGCGAUGCUUCGCAAGUGUUCUUGAAUCAAUAUAAACUCACGUUAUUUUCAUAGUGAUUGUUUCAUGUGCACGUGGAUAUAAUCACAUGUCGAGAUUUUUUUCCUUAAAUUAUGGUCUUAUUUAGUAUUAAGGUGUUAUAUCUUUUAAGGUACAAUUAUUGUUGGAAAAAAGUUGCAUCUAUCAAAUAAAAUUAGUACUAUGUGCUAAAUAUAAUUGUUAAAUAAUAAUUUUGACAAAAUUAGUGAAGUUAUAUAGAUUUUUUUUCAUCAUACAAGCAUAAAAUCAAAUCAACUUAACUUCUAAGUUAUAUAUCGGCUACUUAGGGAUGGCAAUGGAUUGGAUCUGACCCAAGAUCCACGUGAUCCAAAUCUAAUCGGAUCGGAUUUGGGUCAGUUUAAAAUGAAUUUGGAUCGGAUUUGGAUAUUGAUGUGCGGAUCUAAGACGGAUCUGGAGCAGGUCUGGAUCUAUCUUAGUAUCUAAAUCCAUAUCCAUAUCCACCCAUCUUUUAAUUUAAUUUUAUUUUAAAAGUUUCUUAACAAUUGUGGAAUUAUAAUGAUAAUGAAUUUUAUUCAUAGCAUAUUAGUGGUAUUUACCAUGCAUUUAAACUCUUUAAAAUUAAAGGUUAGUUUUGUAAAUUUAAAGACUAGCCAGGCCCAAAGCAUGUACAUGCAAUAUUCAAAUUGCAAGCCAAGUAAUACAACCUGGCAAUUUAUUUUAUUAUAUUGGCCAAAUAAUUUUUAAGGAAUAUAGGUAUUCAUAUAUUUUGUCAAAUAUGGUCAUAAUAAAAAUAAUAAAGGACUGAAUAUAAAUCAUAUUUUAUUUAUAUGUCAUUAUCUAAUAUUAUAAGAAUGAGGGUGGGUGUGUUGUAGAUAUUAGAAUGAUGAAUGAGACAAUAGAAUAUUAGAUUGAUCUUACUCCUGCAAUUACUUUUAAAGGAUAUUUUAUUAUCUUAUUUGUUGUUUUGGUGUAAAAGUAUAAGUUACAAUAUUUAUUAUAUUUUUGAGAAAAAUUAUAUAAUUUAUUUGUUAUCAAUACAUUUUAACCUUCAAUUUUCAUUCUAAAAAAUUAUUACUUUUUAAUUGAUGAGUUUUAGAAUUCAUGACAGAUCUAGAGCAGAUUUGGAUUUUAAUUUUUUUUUUCAGAUUUGGAGCAGAUAUAAAUAUUUAUUUCUUUUAUGGAUAUGGAUAUGGAGCGAAAAAUAUAGAUUCAUGAUGGAUCUGGAGCAGAUACGGAUCUUGAUUUUUAUUAUGGAUUUGGAUCUGGAGCAGAGUAGAUCCAACCCAUAUCUGCCCCAUUGCCAUCCCUACGGCUACUGUUAAUCAUAUGUUUUAGUUCUGUAACUUUUAAGUUAUAGUUACCCAAUCUCAAUUCUAAACCAGACCUAUAAAGAUCAAAGAUUUCCUCAUUAAAUUAUAUGUCUUGUGAUUGCUUAUUUAAUUUAUAUUUUUUUUUAUUUAUCUUUAUUAAUUAUAAUCAUCUUUUUAUAAAUUAAAAUUGAAGGAAGUUGAUUGAUGUUGUUGACACACGCACACACGCACACACUCACAAAGAUAUAUUGGAAGUGCUUACGUCGACUCGAAGUUGUUGGGAAUUAAUGCAUGUAUUGAUUUAUUGGGAGUGUUUAAAUGAUUUUUUGAUUUACUUGAUUUAUUGAUUGAAUAUUGUUUGAUUGCUUCAUAUCCAUUCUAGAAAGUUUAUUUCUUUGUGAAAUUUCAACGAAAUAUGUUUUUUUUUUUAAAUAAGGGUGUUCUAAAUAAUUUAAAAAUAUAUAUGGACUAAUUAGAAUUAAUUAUUAGGUAAUUAACUCAAUCUGUAUAGGGUGAAACAACAUUUAUCCUAAUUAUAUCAUGAUAAAUACUUUUCCUAUUAGAAUUAGGAAAUCAUAGGUUUAUUGAAUUGUUUUUUUUUUUCCUUUGCGGAAACGGAUUAGAGAAUUAGAAAACAAUCAUGUUGAUGUCAAAAUCUGAUCUAGUCGGUUAGCGACUUAAUAUCAUAUUACUGCACCAACAUUAAAUUUAUUGGGUGGAGAAUCGACUGGUCAAUUGUCAAGAUGUCCUGCAAUCACUAGCGAUUAACCUACGAAUACCUAAAAUCACAGAAGACGGUAAGAGGCACCGGAAGUUUUUUCGGCGUGAACCUUCCGACGCUCAAGUCAGUUUAUAGGUUUACCAUAAUAAAAAUAAAUAAUUUCUAUUUAAAAAAAAAUAGAGUUCAAAAGCUCAAAAAUAAAACCCAAUCCCAAUAUGAAAAUGAAUUUUUUUUUUUUUUUUUCUAGCUUGGCCGAAUCCUUCUGCCUCCUAAAGAAACAUAACAGAGAAGCAGGUAGCCAUGUUCCCUAGGUAACGCCCCACUCCCCUCUUUUAUUCCUCCCCCUCUCUUCCGUUUCCUUCUUUUGCUCACUAUCCUUCAUAAUUUUUUAUGCUUGUCUUCCCAAAAUAGCCUUUUAAUACACAAGUAAAUGUCUAGGCUUUGGUGAGGAUAGUUUGGUCAUUGCAUUUUACAAGUAAGAUGAGUGGUGGAGAAAAAUGAGGAGUGCACAUAUAACGCUUCAGCAAAUCCCACCAGCAAUUCCAUUUUCUUAAUUAAUUAAUCUCUUCAGCAAAUCCCACCAACUCUUCAGCAAAUCCUAAUGAUAUUAUUAUCAGGUUUAAAACAGUACACAAAUAGUGAAAAGCUAACUAGUCUGUAGAGUAAUUUGCUAAUUGCUAUCUCCUCUCUCCGCGCGCUGAAUAAUUUGUUGCAUGCAAACUUUUUAUUUUAUGCAAAUCGUACGUACUGUAACAUUGGAAUUGAUGUAAAAGCAAAAAUACAAGAAUAUUUAUGUCAAUAAAAAUAGUUUUUUUGGCCUUUUUAAAUAAACACAACGCGAUAUUGCUCUGCUCUACAUUUUUGCUAUCUCUUUAUUCUUCUUUUUUUUUUUGGGCUUCUUAAAGCCUCAAACUUUGAUAACCAAAACUUCAUCGACCUAUGAAAAAAUCUGCAGAUUAGUUUUUAUUAUCGGAAUAAUCAUUUGAGAAUACUAAAACAAAAUAUAAAUAAGAAAAUAGGAGGUUAAAUUAGAGGGGGGAAAAAAGGUAUGUUGGAUAGAUUACUAUAGUUUAAGAAAAAAAAAUCCAAUUGGGAAUUUUUUUCUUUAAUUUUUGUUUUACUUGAUUGAGAUUUCUCCUUGGUCCUUACAGUUUUAAGUUUGGAUGCCGUAGGGUUAGUAAUUUAGUACUUCCUUUGCAAGCUGAGUGCAAGAAUGAAAAUCUUUAAAGAAAUAAAAAAAAAAAAAAAAAGCAUACCAAUAGGUAAUUAUAAAUAACCAUACAUAAACAUAAACAAAAUGAGGUAAUUAUUAAUAUUAUUUUUUGUUUUAUUUCUUACUUGUCUAUUUUAUUUGCUGCUUGAUAACCCGUAAAUACUAAUCUAGUACUGCUAAUUUCAGACACAAAAUUUUUAACUCUAGGCUGCAGUUUUACUCAAAAUGAUGACCACUGGCUUCGCACCAUUUAACCGGCAUACAUUUCUACAAAUUGAACAAGGCUAUUGAUUUUCAUUAUUAUUUUUUAUUUUUUUAUAAAUUACUAUUUUAAUUUUCACUUUUCAUUGGGUUGUUUAACGGAUUAGUGAAGUUGGUGGUCGUGAUGCACUCACAAGGUACAAUUUUAUUUUAUAAUUUCAAAUUUGUAUUUUAAAAUGCAGGUACAUUAUGUAUACAUAAUUAUUGAUUUUCGUAUGUGGGUGUUUUGAAAUAUUGCUAAAAGACCAAACUUUAAUAAACUAUUUUUCAUCUUUUUUUUUUCCUAAAGUUUAAGUGAUAUCCGCAUUUUAAAUUCAUGUGGAACAAAAGCUAAUGUAUGCACAAAAUCCUUUUAUUUUUUCCGAGAAAAAUGGUUAAGAGAAGAAGAUUUUUCUCUUGAAAAAGAAAAACUAAUACGAUGCAAGCAUAGGAAAGAGGUCAGUGUUUUGGAUUAGAAUUUAGUAUUGAGCUGAAUUUUAUACUAAACUCUUUUAUAGUACUGCGAUUAAUAAACUCAUGAUUUGCUUUUGCUUUUACCUCAAGUGAAAGAAAGAGGAAACCUUUUGUUUUUUGUUUGAUUCUUGACUAUAGGUGUUACCUAUAUAGAGAGUUGAGGUAGCUGCCUUAAGUGAUGGUGAUAAAAAGAUUAAGCAGCGCACACAAUCUUACUGUCGUCCAGACCAUCCAGCUGUGAUGACUCUUGUUUUUUGGUUACAUUAGCUUUAGUGGAACGGAGGGCCAAUUUAACAAAGACUAGAUUUGGUGGCUUACUAUAAUGCUUAUUCUCAGGGAAUCUAAUGUUAUAAGAUGAUUUAAUGAUCUUCUAUGAUUGUGAGUAGUAUAGUAUAAUUGAAAAGAGCUUGGGCUCCUAUGAUGAAUAUUUAAUAGUAACACAGUACUGUUAUUGAAAAAAACACAGUUACAAUAAACUCUUCAUUUAUUCAUUGUGGAGAUUGAAUGGCAAACAGAGAAUAAAAUGAAGCAGAGGAAUCUCAUUGCCAGUAAAAUUGACCCUCUUUAAUGUUAUAUGGCACAGGUGUGUGUACAGCAAGAUCAAGUUACUUGCAGUUUUUAUUGUAAAAUAUAUAGGUUAUGACCAUGAUCAUUGUAGUUAGGUUUUGAUGAUUUUAGAUGCUUUUUUUAUUUUUUUUAAAAUUGUGACACCUUUGAUUUAUGGUAGUUUUGCAGAAGAAAAAAAUAUAUAUAAAAAUUAGGAGGGAUGAGUUAACUAACGAUUGCAAUCAUUACAGUAAUGUUGAUGAGUGAUACAUCAUUUGAAAUUUACUUGUCAGUUGCUGAAAUGAUGAAAAAAAACAGUAAACAAUAGCAGUAAUAUUUUUUGGCAAUAUAAAAAAUUAUUGCGGUUAUUUUUUGGCAAUAUAAAAAAAUUUUAGCAAAUAAAAAUUAAUUUUUUUCCGAUUAACUAAAAAAUUAAUUAAAAACUUCUGCGAUGGCAUUUUUUAUGGGUGCAUAUACCCUCCCUUUAAAAGAAAAAAUAAUAAUUAAUACUUAAUAUAGUAUUAAAUACGAAAAUAUCAAUAUUUGACUACACAAAUUUAAUAGUCUUGUGUAAUUAGUGAGUGAGAGAUUGGGUGUAUUGGAGUUUUGGGUAGUGAGCCAAAAUAUUACAAUACUUGUAAUCUUUAUUUCACUAGUGAAAUAUUUUCCUUCUGUUUUUGCCCGUGGACGUAGGCUAAAAGCCGAACCACGUAAUUUCUGGUGUCCUCUAUUGUACUUGUUCUUUAUUUGCUUCCAAUUUUAUUUUAACUGCGCGUCUGCUUCACCCAUCAAUUUCCUAACAAAUCUUGAUCCCAUGCACACGCAAAUAUGUUAAUUUCUAUACGCUUCACUUACCUGUAGAAUCAAUUAUCUAAAAUGCAAGUUUGUGGCCACAAAAAAAGCCAAAGAAAGAAGAUAAUAACAAUUGACUUGUAUAUUAUACUCAUACAAUCCACUCGACAUAAUGAUAUCAUUUUAAUAAGGCAAUGGCUGAUGAUCUCCAUUGAAAAACUAAUUCAAUUUUUUUGCUUCAUUUAACUUUUUGGUUGUUGAAAAUAACCUUAAUUAUCAAAUAAUUGGAGAAAGAGUAAAGAACAUUUAACAAAUUUAUGUGCAAAAAAAAAAAAAAAGAAGUUGAAGAGAAAGGGUGCUUGCAGAAGUGGGUGUCAAAGAAACAUCGGUCCAUAAGAAUUAUUGCGGUUAUUUUUUGGCAAUAUAAAAUAUUUAUAGCAAGUAAAAAUUAAAUUUUUUCCGAUUUACUAAAAAAUUAACUAAAAACUUCUGCCACAACAUUUUUUAUGGGUACAUAUACCCUCCCUUUAAAAAAAAAAUAAUAAUUAAUGCUUAAUAUAGUAUUAAAUACCAAAAUAUCAAUAUUUGGCUACUCAAAUUUAUAUCAUUAGGUCCUUAAAAUUAAAAAUUGAUGAUACAAAAGGAAAUAUAUAUAAAUUUCAUUCUCAUGGAAAGGAUUCUCUUAUAAUCUUAUAAUAUUUGAGUUUUGAAAUUUUUUGAAGCAAAUGUAAUUUUAUUUGUGUACAAUCAAUAUUUACUUAUUUAUUAUAUUUUAAUUUGUUAACUAUCAAUCAUUUAAGUAUAUUUAGUCAGAAAAAUUAUAUCAAGAGAGAAUCCUAAUUUCACGCAAACACAAAUACAAGAUAAAUAUGUCAAUUUCUAUACUAUCCACUUUCCUGUAGAAUCAAUUAUCUAAAAUGCAAGUUUGUGGCUACCGAAAACUCGCCAAAGAAAGAAGAUAAUAACAAUUGAGCAUUGAUAGCAAAACUAAUGCAUCAUUUUCUUCUUGACUUGAUGAGAUGGUGCCAUUACAAAAAAAAAAGUACCUUAAUUGACGGGCACUGAGUGAUGUGAAUACUACCAGCCAGUUCAUCUCUUCCAGUCUUGCUUAAUCACAAUCACAAACACCACGAGAUUGACAUUUGCAUUAUAUAUAUCUUCAGCAAUCGAAACACCUUGCAUUACCAAAUUAACCGGUAACAAACAAAGCAAUCUUUCAUGGAGAGAAACUUUAGUCUCAGUAUGAUCACUUUGUCAUUAACCCACUACCUGCUUCUUUGCUUGGUUGUUGCAGCAGCAGCAGCCGCAAGCAACAAUAUUACCACAGACCAACAAGCUCUUCUUGCCCUGAAAGAUCAUAUAACUUAUGAUCCAACCAACCUUUUUGCCCAUAAUUGGACCUCGAAUACCUCUGUUUGUACCUGGAUUGGCAUCACUUGUGAUGUCAAUAGCCAUAGAGUCACAGCCUUAGAUAUUUCUCAAUUCAAUCUACAAGGCACCAUCCCUCCUCAACUUGGAAACCUUUCUUCACUUACAACGCUUAAUCUUAGUCAUAACAAGCUUUCUGGAGACGUUCCAUCCUCCAUCUACACCAUGCAUUCGCUAAAAUUUCUUGACUUCACUGAUAACCAGCUCUCUGGUUCAGUGUCUUCCUUCGUCUUCAACAUGUCUUCAAUAUUAGAAAUUCUUUUGACCAAUAACAGAUUUUCUGGUGAGCUUCCGAAAAAUAUUUGCAACUAUCUUCCUUAUUUGAAAGCCCUUUUCUUAAACAAAAACAUGUUUCAUGGCAAAAUUCCUUCUGCUUUAUCAAAGUGCAAACAACUGCAAAAAUUAAAUUUGCAGUUCAAUAAUUUAUCCGGUGCAAUACCGAAAGAAAUCGGCAACUUGACUAUGCUCAAAGGCAUAUAUCUCGAAUACAACAAACUCCACGGUAUGUUCAUAAUACUAUGUAAAUGUUUUAAUUUCUCAAUUGUUAUUUUCUUGAAUACUUUAGACAAGAUCUUGUAAGGGAGAUAUUUUUGGAUCUGUGUUAAUUUGCCAGGUGAGAUACCCCACGAAAUCGCUAAUCUUCGAAAUCUAGAGGAUUUAUUGCUUGGAAUGAACAACCUAGUUGGUGUGUUACCAGCUCCAAUCUUCAACAUGUCAACACUGAAAUUAUUUGACCUCAUAAAUAACUCUCUCUCCGGAAGUCUUCCAUCAAGAAUAGACCUUUCACUUCCAACUGUUGAGUUUUUUGGCUUGGCACUUAAUAGAUUUUCUGGAACCAUUCCUAGUUCCAUCACCAAUGCUUCUAAGCUCACCGUUCUAGCGUUGGGAGAGAACACAUUUUCGGGCUUCAUUCCAAACACAAUUGGUAAUUUAAGAAACCUUGAGUGGCUCAGCUUGGAGAAUAAUUACUUGAAAUCUUCAACCUCAAAAUUGAGCUUUCUUUCCUCUUUGGCAAAUUGCAAGAAAUUAAGAUUCUUAAACUUAGCAGGCAAUCCACUUGACGGCUUCCUUCCAAGUUCAAUAGGUAAUCUUUCUGUGUCUUUGGAAACACUUUUCAUCGGCAAUUGCAGUAUUAGUGGCAACAUUCCUCAAGCAAUUAGCAAUUUAAGCAACUUGUUGACCUUAGUAUUAGAAGGCAAUAAAUUGACUGGACCAAUUCCAAUUACAUUUGGCCGACUACAGAAACUCCAAGGCUUAGAUCUUGCAUUCAAUAAGUUGGUAGGUUCAUUCCCAGAUGAGCUUUGCCAUCUAGCAAGGCUGGAUCAAUUGGUCUUAUUUGGCAAUAAGCUUUCAGGAUCUAUACCUUCAUGCCUAAGUAAUCUCACUUCUCUAAGAUCUCUCUACUUAGGGUCCAAUAGGUUAACUUCUGUUAUUCCCUCAACUUUCUGGAGCCUAAAAUACAUCUUGUUCUUUGACUUUUCAUCAAAUUUCUUGGUUGGUACUCUUUCUUUCGACAUAGGUAAUUUGAAGGUGCUUCUAGGAAUAAAUUUAUCAGAAAAUAACUUAUCGGGUGAUAUGCCAGCCACAAUUGGAGGACUGAAAGAUCUUCAAUUUAUGGACCUAGCAUUUAAUAGAUUGGAAGGCCCAAUUCCUGAAUCAUUUGGUGACUUGACAAGUUUGGAGGUUUUGAAUUUGUCAAAAAAUAAAAUCUCUGGGUCUAUUCCAACAUCCAUGGAGAAACUCAUUUACCUUCGAGAGUUAAAUCUCUCUUUCAAUAAACUUGAAGGUGAGAUUCCUAGUGGAGGAAUUUUUACCAACUUCACAGCUGAGUCAUUUAUGGGAAAUGAGUUAUUGUGUGGUUUACCAAAUCUUCAAGUCCAACCAUGCAAACUUAGCAAGCCUAGGACAGAACAUAAAUCAAGGAAAAAGAUACUUCUCAUUGUGAUUGUUUUGCCAUUGAGUAUUGCUCUAACGAUAGCAAUCACUCUAGCUCUCAAAUCUAAGCUGAUCGAAUGUAGAAAAAGAGGCACAGAGUUAUCAAAUGAUAGUAUCUUGUCAUCAGAAGCAACACUAAGAAGAUUUUUAUACUUAGAACUUUUACAAGCAACAGAUAAUUUUGCUGAAAACAACAUAAUUGGCAGAGGAGGUUUUGGUUCCGUUUAUGGAGCAAGACUUGAAGAUGGGAUGAAGAUUGCAAUAAAAGUGUUUCACCAGCAAUGUGCAAGCGCAUUGAAGAGUUUUGAGGCUGAAUGUGAAGUGUUAAAAAAUAUUCACCAUCGAAACCUUAUCAAAGUUAUCAGCAGUUGCUCGAACGAUGACUUCAAAGCAUUAGUCCUAGAAUACAUGUCCAACGGGAGCUUGGAGGAUUGGCUGCAUUCUAGCAAUUAUGUGCUGAAUAUAUUUCAGAGGUUGAACAUAAUGAUUGACGUUGCAUCAGCUUUAGAAUAUCUCCACUUCGAUCAUUCAACUGCUAUUAUUCAUUGUGACUUAAAGCCUAGUAAUGUAUUGUUGGACGAAAAUAUGGUUGCUCAUUUGAGUGAUUUUGGCAUAGCAAAGCUUUUAAGUGGAGAGGAUGAGUCUACGAUACGAACAAAAACCCUUGCCACUCUAGGUUAUAUGGCACCAGGUUUGCUUCAAACAACUUUCGUUUUUAGUUCAUUUUAAAUUUUCCAACUUAUUGAUUUUUACAAUCCUCACAUCAAAAUGUUAUUGAUUAUUUAUCUAAUUGUGAAAUUAAUUUGAUUCAUAGAGUAUGGCAUAGGAGGAGAAGUAUCUACAAAAAGUGAUGUUUAUAGCUAUGGGAUUAUGUUGAUGGAAACUUUUACCAAGAAAAAACCCACAGAUGAAAUUUUUGUUGGAGAAUUGAGCUUAAAGCGUUGGGUUAAUGACUUGCUUCCUAAUUCAUUAGUGGAAGUUGUGGACAAAACUCUGCUAAGUGGAGAGGAAAAACAUUCUGCAGCAAAGGAGCAAUGUCUGUUGUCUAUCUUUAGUUUGGCUCUGGAGUGUACAAUGGAAUCACCGGAAAAGAGGAUUAAUGCAAAAGAUAUUGUUACCGGAUUACUCAAGAUAAGAGACACAUUGAGUAAAAGGAUAGGAAAUUUAAGUUAAUUUCGUUUGCUUUCAUUGAUAGUUAAUUCGAAUUCAUGUAAUAAGUGUAAGAACCUUAUAUCUUUUACUUUGAUUUUUUUUUUCUUGAGAAAACUGUUGUAGUCAUCUUGUUUCCAUGGGCGGAGUUGAUUUAGUUCUUCCAAGAAAUGCUACUGAUGACAUUUGUUUUAUACUUUCUCUUUUUUUUUGCAUGUGUUUAGGUAGAAUAGUGGUUUGGUUGCACUCUAAGAAGUCUAACUACACUAAAAGAAUAUGAUUUAAUUUAUUAAACAAAACUUCAAGUUCAAGAAAAGUAUCUCAUUGCCCCCAAUGCUUUGGACACCUAUUGGUAGGUUUGUACGUGUCCUCAACUUUUUUUUGGAGCACAAAAUUCGAGUCCCAUAAAGGCUCAAACAUUCCUUUCCUUCAUCCCGAGGGCGCCUUCUGUCCUCUGUUUUCUGUUUCCACACACAAAUAGCAAAAAGAAAUUAGAAUGACAACUGGGACAUAUAUAAGAGUGAAAUAAUUAAAAAAAUUAUGCUUUUUUGUCUGUCGUGUUAAAAUCGUAAGUACCGAAGUACUGUGAAAGAGAUUAAUUUACAGAAACUGAAGCCAAGGGUUCAAAAAAAACUAUUGAUGUAGGUAGAAUGCAAUGUCAUAUUCAUACAGAGAUGAAGUAUAUUAUUUACGGCUGGUAAGGACUAAGAAUUGAUGUAGCUAGAAUGCAAAGAUGAUGAGGUAUGUUGUACACUAUUGUUUUUAUUCUACAAUCAAUCUUGACCCCUGAUGCUUGGCUCUCAAUCUUGUCCAUUGAUCUUCUCUGAUUUUGGAGACUUGAAGACCUUUCAGUAUCAUGCCUUGUUGUUGGUGUCUUCCGUGCUGUAGAAUUCAUAUACAAGUUUUCCCGCCGACUUGCCAAGUAUUUGUUCAUUGAUGCAUUUUAUCAAACAGUUGGCCUGCUCAGAGCAAACAGCUCCUGUUUUAACUCCCCCUCCGUAGCUCAACUAUCUGGGAAGACAAUUAAUUGAGCUUGUUUCACAAUUAUAUGAAUCUGAAAGUUCAAUUAUAUCCUCUAAUGGAGAGAACUCAUUGCCUCAGUAUGAUCACUGUGUCAUCAACCCACUCCCCGCUUCUUUGCUUGGUUGUUGCAGCAAGCAACAAUUUUACCACAGAUCAACAAUAGUUUGUCCAUUUGUUCCAGUGAGGUCGUCAUUAAAAAUUAAUUUUCAUAUUGAUUUUCUUAAUUAUAAAUAAUACUAAUGAUAUUUCAUAGUUAUAAAUAUAUUAGAAUUAAUCGAAAUCAUUUUUUAGUGCGGCAUGGCUAAAACUACCUUUUUUUUUUUUAAGUAAUUACUACUUCAAGGAAAAUACUCCUAUUUUCAAGGAAAAGUCAAGUACCCGUAGUUGUGAAGACUCGAGCUCACCCUCUUAUGAUAAAUCUUCUUAUCAAUUACAUAAAUAUCCUCUAAAUUUUUAGUUAACUAUUCAAAAUUCGAUGUUAUACGGGUAUUUCAUUUAUUUGAGUAGGGGUUCGGGGUCAAUUGGAUACAAAUUCAAAAUUAUCCUUACUUGAGAAGGUGAUAAAAAUUGGGGAUUUAGUUUGGAUGCAUUAGCUACAAAUAUUAAACUCAUACAUCUAAUUCAAAAUUAGAGGGCUGAUAUAUGUGCAUCCUCGUGCACAUUAUAGUGACACGUGUCACCAUCCUACAACCUAUCCAAUGAAAAAUUGACAUGCAUCUUGUGCGCUUCUGAUCAAAAUCCUGAAAAUUAAUCACAAAGUUAUACUUUUAUUAUAAAAAGAAUAAAGAAACUCCAAAAAAAAAAAAAGACUUACAUAUAUAAAUAGUUUGAAUAAUCUAGAUUCCAAGUUGUCUAUAUUAGCUUGAUCUUUUUAUAAAUAGUCAUCUUCGAAAAAAAAUUCCACCAACAUAUAUUUUAAUUUUAUGUUAAUUAAUAAAUAGAAAAAAAUCAUUUUAGAAUUAAUUAAAACAUUAUUUAUUGUUGCCAAAAAAAGGAAGAAUUUAGUGAUAAGAAAAAAGUGUCUCAAAUAUACGUUAAAAAAAUUAAUCAUGGUGGGUUCGAUUGAUUGAAUUUUUUUUUUUAAUCUUUUUCUUUUUUAAGAAUUAAGACAAUUGGAUUGAUUGAGUAAUAAUAAAAUAUAUUUAUUUGGCAAAUGGCAGGUAGGCUUUCUUCUGAUGCAGAUUGAUUAUAGAGAAUAUACAACAAUUUUAAGCUCGUCAGAUUCGGAACCUGCUUAUCUGUCGUGUGGGGAUCACUUCCGUGUCUUAUUUUUCUAGAAAAAUCUGGACCAUUAGGCAGUAGAGAAAUGUUGAUCUUGAUUCCUGAUCAGGAUCGAAGUUUGAUUCUAUCUAACAUGAUAUCAGAUUGCGAAGCAGGCUAGUAUGUAAAUUUCUUUUAUCUUUUAGAGGAAAAUGGGCAAGAGAAGAAGAUUUGGCAAAGGAAUUGCAACCGCAUUUCUAGUAUGUUCUGAUCAGAGAAGCGAAAUCCAUCACGGUCUUUUAUCUUUACCCAUGUGGAGAAAUCAAGGGAUUUCGAAUCAGAGAAGCGAUGGGAUUUAGUUCUGAUCUGGGAUUUUGGAGACUUAGGGAGUGUGCGGUCUUGGACCAACAUUGAUGACGAUGACGCUUCAAAUUCAAUGACUUGAAAGCAGAAAACAAAGACAGACAAAAACAGACAUGCACUACAGCAAGAAAGAUUGACUGAAUCUUGGGUUACUGUGUCUGUGGUCUCAAAUGAAACACAAGUGGGAAGCCUUGCUGCAGUUUCAGCUUUGGUUUGUGUUUGAAGUUUUGAAUGUAAAAAGAGAACCGAGCAUGUGGUUGCCGACAAGAAUGGCCUGAGGUUUCUUAAGCUUCAUUGUAAUGUUACAACUGCUACUAAUUUGGUGGGGUGGGAGGUCGCUGGGUCGCUGUCAGUCCAUUUGCUUCUUUUCUUUCUUUUUGUUAUUUGUUGAGUUUUUUCCAUUUCUACUUUUCUUAAUAUAUAAAUUAUCAUUUUUUUAACAUGCAAAAUAUAUAGAACAUUUUAUGAGUUUAUAAAUAAAAAUUAUAUUAUGGGAUAAUAGUGAAUGAGUUCCUGGUGCUUUGGAGUUCUUUAAAUUAAGGGCCCAGUUUGUCCAUUUGUUUUAGUUAGGUCCUUCUUAAAAAUUGAUUUUCUUAAUUAUAACUAAUACUAAUGAUAUUUCAUAGUUAUAAAUAUAUUAGAAUUAAUCCAAAAUAUUUUUUAGCGUGGCAUGGCUAAAACUACCUUUUUCUAUAAGUAAUCACUACUUUUGCAUUAAGGAAAAUAUUCCUAUUUAAAAAAAAAUUGAAUAUCUAUAGUUGUGAGGACUCGAACUCACUCGCUUAUGAUAAAUCUUUGUUGAUGCGAGAUUCUGGUUACCCACUCGACCACGUCCAGGAUCUCUGCUCAAUCAACUAACUCGACCACGAUCAGGAUCUCUCCUCGUAUGCUUUCUUCUUCAAAAAUUCCUGCGUACACAGAAACAAGUCAGAGCACGCCAGUUGUUUUCCCGGCGUAAACCCUCCGACGCUCAAGUCAGAUAUGAAGGUUUUGUGUUCCUGGGAACGUUAGCCACUAGUCUUAAGCUUUGCUUUUGGUAUCGAUUGCUGAAUGCUCUCUUUAUCUCAAUUUCCGUAUUAAAAGUUAACCCUUUUACCUUCGUUGGCUGCCUUUUUAUAGGCUCCACCUGAGUCCAGAUCCUCCCCUCCAUUCACGCCCGUUACCUUCCCACCUCUCGAAAGUGGAUGCUUUGUUUCCGUAAUCGUGGGUGAUUGCAUGGCCUUCGUGCCUCGAUUCUCAGGCUGGAGAGUACGUCUCGCCAACUGUCGUUGACUGGGUCUCCUCGCCUCAAACCUUAGCAGGAAUGGCUUUAUGCUUCUAACAAGAGACCGGCUUCGCGGAUGGCGUAUUCAUGGACGAGCAGAUAUUCCUGCUUAUGUUCCAAUGCUACCAGACCUCUGCUCAUCACGGCUGGUCUCGUCGAAGUACAUCCCCCAAACACCGGUCCCCCAGUUUCUGGUGUUGGGUAACAUAGUGAGCCAACAGUAGAAACUCGACAGUUCUUGCUCGCGCGAGAUAGGAAAAGACUGCCAAGAGUCGUGUCGCAUUUAAUGGCGGAUGAGGUGAUGUGGCAGAAAUCUACCCCUCCAUUUGAAUUUCAAACCGACGGUUACGAAACCCUAGGGAUUUGUGCCGUUAAAUGCCGGCAGCCCAAGAGUUUGUUCUUCAUUAGGAAAACCCAAAACCCCCAAAAGAGGAACUCGUCUUUUACUCCGUUUCUGUCUCUCCUGCGAAUGAGUCCUUCCUCUCCCUCGGCGUAAAAGCUUCCUUCCUUGUCUCUCUCCGACUAAGUCACAACUUCAGGUACUAUUUCUUUUUUCCUCGGUCGUGGAUAGUUGUAAACAAUUUCUUUUACAUUUUGCUUGGGUAGUGUUUGGUGGUGCAGUUCUGGUUAUAGUUUAGGGAAUGUCGAAAGGUAAGGAGAAAGUCAUUGAGAUUGAUGACGACGAGUUAGACUUCUUGCCUAGUCUGCUCGCCGAUUCUGCUUUCGACACCGGGAUCCCCUUAGAACCCGUUAGACCUAAUGUUGCGACUAGUGCUAGGAGGAUGUCCCCCCAAGUAACCUCCUCAACUGGAAAUAGCGACGACGAGGGUUCUUCUGGUUCGGAAGACACUUUGAGUGAAGAUCAGGGAAAUGAUUCUGGUGAGAUGUCCUCACCAGGAACAUCGUGACCAGAUAGGAGGGGCAUAGUAGGAGGUAGAGCUCUAUCACAGAAUUACACUAUUGAUUUUAUGACGUGCACGACCACAGUAGAUGAGCUAGUUAGUCUCCGGGCUAGAUACGGCAUCCCUGAUGAAAUUUCCCUUAGGAUCCCAGGAAAAAAAGAUACCCCCAGCCGGCCUCCUAGGGGAUAUAUUACUCUGUUUCUAGAGAGUUUUAAACUUGGGCUAAGGUACCCCAUACAACCCUACUUUGCCCGAAUACUCAAUGGGUUGAAUUUAGCUCCUGGUCAACUGAACCCCAAUGGGUGGUGAGUACUUUCUGGUCUGUUCAUAUUGUGAGACAGAUGUUGCCAAAGCGAGCCAACAAUUGACGAGGUGAAGCACCUGUACCAGCUAAAGAGCAGCCCCAAAGAUGUCGGCUGGUAUUACUUCCAGUCUAGUACCAAGACCAGGAAACCCAUAACCGAUCUUCCAACUGGUGGUGGUAGGACUUGGAAGAAAAAAUUCUUUUUUGCUGGGGGUCCCUGGGGUCAAGUUGCACAGAUUGACGAGAAGGAUUACCGUGUCCCACCUCAUUUCGUGGUCCCAGGUUGCCUACUCGCUUAAGAUGUUUUGUCUCCAUAGUCGUUCUCAUUUUGCUGAUUUGUUUCUAAUCCAAAAUCUGUUCGCAUUGCAGGUUCCUGGGGUGUGCACUACCAGCUUAAACCCGAGCCGCUCAAGCGAGUCGAAGCUGUACUGGCCAAUUUCUACACGAACCGAGAGCUGCUAACUACUUUCAAUUUGGUCGAAUCUCGUUUGGUGUCUACCGGCCAUAAAAUGGAGGAUGCUGUGAUCGGGGCUCUGACUCGGAAACGUCCCCAACCUCAUGCUACCAAGCAGGACCAGAAUAAAUAUGCUCCCACUGCGAAGCGGGUGAACAUUGUGCAGCAGGUUCCUCCCUUGAAGACCCUACCACCUCCUUCUGCCAAAGUCGGAGAAACUAGCGGAGCAGCCACCGAUCCCGCUUCCUCUUAUCCUCCAGUCGGGCCGAGAUCUCGUUUAUCUGACAAUCGAGCAAAACAUUUGGUCCCCUAUAUCAACGAGUUCUCUAAACUCGUGAGCAAGAGGGACCUAGAGGACUUUGACGACAGCACCUUGGGUGAGCUGGUGGGGGCCAUGCAAUAUAGCGCUUUCCAUCUCGACUGUAUGGCCACUUACUACAAGGCCAAGGUUGGUCGUUAUGACCGAAAGAUGAAGGAGGACAUUCAAUCGGCCAUGAUCAAAGCUGAUGCUGCCGAGAAGAAAGCAGGGGACUUGAAUCUCGAGAAUUUGAAGUUGAUAGAGCGAGAAUCUCUUGCUCAAGCAAAAGCCAUUACUCUCGAGGAUGAGCUAGCUAAGGUCAAGGAGGAUCUGCAAAGACAGCAGGCUAUGUACGAGGCCCAGCUCGAAUCUCUUCGGGAUUCCCACAAGGUUUAGGUCGAGAACCUGGAGAAGGAAGCUGAUAAUCAAUAUGACCAGGGGCUUCAGCACUCCUAUCAUUGCAUCAUGGCCGUCCUUGGGAAGCAGCAUCCGGAUAUGAAAAUGGACGAGCUUGCUACUGGUGUUGCUCAGCAUAUGGAUGAGGAGGCAGCAAAAGAGGACGCCGAAGAGGUGGAGCCAACUGAGGUUGAGGAGGGAAACACUCCUCCUCGUGCAAUCCUUGCUGAUGUCGCUGAGGCGAGUACCCCCCGAAUGCAACUGGUGAUACCCCCUGCCCCUGAGGUGGACCAGCCAACCAAGGCUGCUCGGCUUACUGACCCGCCGUCCUCUUGAUUGUAUUUUGUGUUGUAGUUGCUUUCUUGAAACGCUAUAUGUUAUGACUAGCAGUUUUUUCUGGUUGUUGAUUAAUAAAUAAGAAUGUUCUCAUUUGCUUUCUCGUCGUAAAUCAUUUUAAGUUUGAGGGUCUACUUGCCUUCUCUUGUACUAGCAGUUCUUGACACGCUUGGCUUCUGGUCUCGCCAUAGAACAUGCUUGUGACUUGGUGAGCCUUUGCAUGCCUUAGAAAUUUUUUCAAUGUUGGGAUUCUGCUCGCCUUCGCUUGGUCGAGCAGAUCUUGGCACGCUUGGCUUUUGGUCUCGCCAUAAAAACAGGCUUUGAAAAUUGGUGAGCCUUUGCAUGCCUUAGAAAUUUUUUCAAUGCUUGGGAUUUUGCUCGCCGUCGCUUGGUCGAGCAGAUCCUGGCACGCUUAGCUUUUGGUCUCGCCAUAAAAUAGGCUUUGAGACUUGGUGAGCCUUUGUAUGCCUUCGAAAUUUUUUCAAUGAUAGGGAUUCUGCUCGUCGUCGCUUGGUCGAGCAGAUCCUGGCACACUUGGCUUCUAGUCUCGCCAUAAAACAGGCUUUGAGACUUGGUGAGCCUUUGCAUGCCUUAGAAAUUUUUUCAAUGCUUGGGAUUCUGCUCGCCGUUGCUUGGUUGAGCAGAUCCUGGCACGCUUGGUUUCUGGUCUCGCCAUAAAACAGGUUUUGAGACUUGGUGAGCCUUUGCAUGCCUUAGAAAUUUUUUGCACAGUUACAAGUGAAUGAAAUUCCUCGACGUUUCAUUAAUUACAGAAUUCAACUUACAUAGGAAUGCAUAGCAACGAGAACAAAUUAAAGUAAUUUUUGAACAUGAGCAAGUCUUACUGGAAAUAUUUCCUGAGGUGCGCUGCGUUCCAUAGGCGUUUCACCUCGUGGCCAUCCGUGCGAACAAGCUUGUAAGCUCCGAGUCCCACUAUCUGCUUGACCCUGUAUAGCCCCUGCCAAUUCGGUCCAAGCACUCCUUGAGUCGAGUCUUUGGUGUUCUGAUUCACUCUCCUUAGCACCCAAUCUCCGACCCUAAACUGCCGUACAUUCACCUUCUGGUUAUAAUACCGAGCAACCCUCUGCUGGUAAAUGGCUAAUCGCUUCGAUGCUUGCUCCCUCUUCUCUACAAGCAAAUUCAGAUUCAAGCACAUCUGCUCGUUGUUAUCUUGCUCAUUGAAAUGAUCUGUCCGGUGCGUGGUCGUUCCUAUCUCGGCUGGUACGACCGCUUCAUGUCCGAAGGCCAAGGCGAACGGUGUUUCUCCAGUUGCUGUUUUGUAGGUUGUCCUGUAUGCCCAUAAAACACAUGAUAGCUCAUCAACCCAUGCUCCAUUUUUUGCUCCAAGCCUGGUUUUCAAAAGCCUCUUGAUCGUCUUGUUGGCUGCUUCUACUUGUCCAUUGGAUUGAGGGUGAGCAAGCGAGCAGUACUUCAACUCUAUCCCGAGGUUCUGGCAGAAAUCCCUGAAACUGUGAUUAUCGAACUGCCUGCCAUUAUCCAUUACCAAGGCAUAGGGGAUCCCGUACCGACAGACCAGGUUUCUCCAUACGAAGUCUGUUGUCUUCUUCUCUGUGAUCUUGCUGAGGGCUUCUACUUCUAUCCACUUCAUGAAGUAGUCUAUUGCUACUAUUCCAUGUGUUGUUGCUCCUCGUCCCCUUGGCAACGGCCCGAUCAGAUCAAUUCCCCACUGAGCAAAUGGCCAAGGGGAGGCUAUAGAGGUGAGCUUCUCUGGUGUUUGGCUGGAGAAACUUGCAAAACUCUGGCAGCUUAAGCAGCUCCUGGUCUUCUCCUGCGCAUCCUGGUGCAUUGUCGGCCAGAAAUAUCCCUGCCUUAGAACCUUAUGGGCAAGGGACCUCCCACCAGAAUGGUUUCCGCAAAUUCCUUCAUGUACUUCUCUCAGUACGUAGUCUGCGUUGUCCUCAUCUAAGCACCGAAGGAACGUGAGUGUAUAUCCUCGCCGAUAUAGCACCCCAUCAAUCAUUGUGUACCUUGAGUCUUGGGCUCUAAUCUUCCGAGCUCGUAGCUUAUCUGGUGGUAACACCCCGUCUCUGAUAUAUGAAAUUAUCGGAUCCAUCCACGAGCCUUUUUGUUCUAUCUGCAUCACCUUCAAAUUCUGCUCGAUGCUAGGGUUGGUUUUCACUUCCAAAGGGACCGUCUUAGGCAUUUUAGGGUCUGCUACAACUGUCAUCCUGGCCAGAAUAUCGGCUCGACUAUUUUGUUCCCUUGGGAUUUGUAUCAACUUAACCGCUUCGAACUUCCUCAUCAUCUGCCUGACUUUCUUCAAGUACUGCUCCAUCUUCUCAUCUCUCGGUUGAAAACUUUCACUGACAUGAUUUGCGACCAGCUGAGAAUAAGUUCUGAUCUUCACCCUAUCUGCUUUCAUUGCCUUAGCCAAUUCCAAACCUGCUAUCAAGGCUUCGUAUUCUGCCUGGUUAUUUGUGGCUGUGAACUCUAACUUUACAGCAUAAGAAAUCUCCUCCCCCUCUGGGUCUUUUAAGACAAUUUCUGCUCCUGAUCCUUGCUCACCUGAUGACCCAUCUACAGACAUCUGCCAUACUCGAGCUUUGCUGCUAUCUGUAGCGGUGUCCAGUUGGUCCAAACAUACUUCAAGCUCCGCGAAUUCUGCUAUGAAAUCGGCCGUUGCCUGAGCCUUUAUUGCUGCUCGGGGUUUGUAAUCUAUGUCGAACUCGCUAAGCUCUAUAGCCCACUUCACGAGCCGACCAGAAGCAUCUGGCUUGUGCAGAGUUUGACGCAAUGGCUGGUUUGUUAUUACCGUGACGGGGAAUGCUUGAAAGUACGGCCUCAGCUUCCGAGCAGCAACCACAAGGGCGAGUGUCCAUUUCUCCACCAAUGGGUAUCUGGUCUCGGCAUCGAGCAGGGUCUUGUUGGUGAAGUAUAUCGGGUACUGAACCCCUUCUUCUUCUCUUACUAGAACAGAACUUGCAGCAUGAUUUGAUACCGCCAAAUAUAAGAACAACCUAUCGUCAUCCCUUAGUGUGGACAGCAAAGGUGCUUGUUGCAAGUACUGCUUCAAGUUCUGGAAGGCUUCUUCACAUUCUGGGGUCCAUUCUGUAUUCUUUCCUCUCCUUAUCACUUGGAAAAAUGGCUGACACUUAUCUGUAGCCUUGGAUAUGAAUCGGCUUAAUGCCGCCAACCUCCCCGUAAGGCUCUGUGUCUCCUUCAGGUUACGAGGUGACCUCAUCUGCACGAUCGCCUGGAUCUUCUCAAGAUUUGCCUCGAUCCUGCUCGAACAUGGGGAUUUGGUUGUAUCCCGAGAAUGCGUCCAUGAAGCUGAGCAAGCCAUGUCCGGCUUUUAAGUCUACAAGCUGGUCAAUCUUUGGUAAUGGAAAGCUGUCUUUCGGGCACGCCUUGUUGAGGCCCGUGAAAUCCACACACAUCCUCCACUUGCCAUUAGCCUUUUUUACUAACACCACAUUCGAUAUCCACUCGGGAUAAUUGACUUCCCGAAUGAACCCUGCUUUCAAGAGCUUCUCCACCUCGCCGUUUAUAGCCUCAUACCUCUCCUGGUUGAAGCACCUCCUUUUCUGCCUUACUGCCCGAGCACCUUUCUUUAUUGCCAGUUUAUGACAUGCGACCUAAGGGUCGAUUCUUGGCAUGUCUUCAUGUGUCCAAGCAAACACAUCUGCAUGAGCCCGCAAGCAUUGCACCAACUCCUGCUUCUGCUAUUCUUUAAGCCUCAACCCAAUUCGGAUCGUUUUUCCCAGAUCCUUUGGUCCUAGGCUCACUGUCUUCAACUCCUCUACAGGUUCUUGUCUACCAGUCUUGGUUCCCACUCGGGUAUCAAGGGAUGUUAUCUGCAUUGCUUCCCUUGCUGACGAGGAGUAAUAGCUUCGUGCGAUUCUCUGGUCUCCUCAUACCACUCCAACUACCCCAUUCACCCGGUACUUGAGAGCUAGAUAAUGGUUGGAUGACACCGCUUUACUCAUCCUCAGAAAUGGUCGACCUAGGAUCAUCUGGUAAGGACCCUCUUCAUCGACUACCAAAAAAUCCAGCAUCAUAGUCCUUUCUGUCGGGGAGCUUCCAAUCGUGAUAGGCAGCUCAACCACGCCCAGGGGGACCAGCUUUCCUCCUCCAAAUCCCUUCAAGGAGGUAUUGGUGUGCUCCAACCUCAGGUCUGUUAUUCUCAUCUCCUCCAGAGUUGACUUAAACAACACAUCAACUGAGCUCCCUGUGUCAACCAGUAUCCGGUCAAACUUCUUGCUGGCGACGGUGGCCUUGAUGACUAAGGCAUCCUUGUGUGGGUAUAGAAUCCCUUAUUCAUCCUCAUCUGUCCACAUGAUUGGCACUUGUCAGACUCUUGCUCGUUUGGCUGCUGGGGUGUUGAAGAACACAUCUUUACUAGUCAUGGCAAAUUUAGCAUAAUUUUUCCUCGAUCUGUUGGAAUCUCCGGCCAACGUUGGACCCCCUAACAAUCACUCUUACUAUAGGCUGCCUGUGGCUCAAGUUCCUGUUACCCUGCUCCUCUUCACAUAUCGGGGCCACCGUCGGAAAAGUCCCAUCGAUAAACUCGUCCAGGUAUCGAUUUCUCACCAAAUCUUUAACCUGGGUCUUAAGGUCUCUUCAUUCUAUUGUGGUAUGGCCAUGAGUACCAUGGAACUUGCAAUAGUGCCCCUAUCCCUUCUGCUGGGUAGCUUUGUUAUUGGGGCUGGGAGGUACAGUAAUCCCCAGUCCUUUAUGGCCUCACAGACUUCGUCCAGUGGGAUAUUCAAGGAAGUAUACUGCCCAUAGUCCUGGUUCUGGUCGAUCAUAUGCACUGCCCUUUCUCUGUUUGUGCCAUUCUGAGUUGGAGGUGGUGGCAGCGCUUCUGGUCUGCUCCCCCUACUACCAUGGGGGUGUGGGUGAAGGUGACCGUAUGUCGCGUCAUGCCUUCUCCUAGGCUCCCUAGCUGGUGAGCGAGAAGGUUGCGCCCUGCUGUGCUGAUACUGUGGUGGCCUCUAAUGAGGUUGGUAAGCGGUUACCCGACCUCUUGUACCACUACCUAAGGCAUGGUGGUCCCUCCUCUUAAUCGGCCCAUUUCCUGGUACGGCUCUCUUCUCUUUCCUCUUUAAUCCUUCCAGCUGGUCUGUCUUAAUCCGUGCCGCCUUUUCCUCCUCUAUUUCUAUGUCUCUCUUAGCCUGCUCGUAAGCAACUGAAUAUGUCUGAAUAACUGGGCUUCUCAAGUUAUAUCACAUCCGUCUUAUCUUCACUCCUUCUUUCAAUCCCCUUAAUGCCUGAGGAUGGUUGAAGGCUCCCAAGUCGAGGACAGCACGGUGGAACCUUUUGAUGAAUUCCCGAAGGGUUUCCUCCUCUCUCUGCUUCAUGCUCGUUAACUCCAUCAUAUCAUCUUCCGGUGCCAUUACCCCACGAAACUGCUCUGCAAAUUCCUGGCACAUCUGCUCGAAGGCUUUAAUGCUCCCUCGAGGAAGUUUCCUGUACCACUCGCGUGCUCGUCCCUCUAGAGAUAGUGGGAACACCCUGCAUCUUUGGGCUUGAGAUAGUCCUUGCACCCCGGUCAUGUUGUUGAAGCGCUCUAUGUGCACCAACGGAUCAGUUCGCCCCAAAUAUCUGAGGUCUGGGAGGCGAAAAUCUCUUGAAAUGACUGCCCUCAUGAUCUCUGCCGAGAGCGGGGUUUCUCCGUCCAGCAUUAUCCUCCAACCAGGUGCUCUACUCCUUCCUUGCAUAUCAUCAAUUACUUGCGCUAGUUUGCGCACUUCCUUCUCUAGCUGCAUUGCACGACCAGGGUCACGUGCUGUAACUUGAUCCCGCUCUUUCUCUACAUCAUGUAAGUAUUGCCUGAGCUCUGUUUCCUCUGCAUUCACCACCCCAUCAUCCUCAUCAAAAAUCUAUCUUCUUGGGGAUUGCUCUUCUUCUCUAUGAAUUCCUCCCCGUAAAGAUAAGUUACCUCUCUCACCACCAAAUCUCCUGGUGGUCUGACUUCUCAUCAUACCAUCGUGCCCUGGUGCCACUCUGCCACCUCUCACCCUUUUCUCAUGGGUUCCCCUUCGUUCACUCCUUAGUUCAUGUAGGAUGGUUGUCAGGGUCUCCAUCUGCUUUUCCAUCCGUUCCAUUCGGUCAUGCAUGGCUUUUUCCCGUGCUUCAAUGGCUAUCUCCCUUAACGUCAUGGAUUCGUUAAGCCUCAUAUCACCUCCUUGUGCACUACUUCCUCCUACAUCCAUUGUUUCUUCUCUUGCUUUGUUUUUCCUUUCUCUGUCAACAGAAGUUUUUUUAUCAGCUCCCUACAGACGGCGCCAAAAUGUUGAUGCGAGAUUCUGGUUACCCACUCGACCACGACCAGGAUCUCUGCUCAAUCAACUAACUCGACCACGAUCAGGAUCUCUCCUCGUAUGCUUUCUUCUUCAAAAAUUCCUGCGUACACAGAAACAAGUCAGAGCACGCUGGUUGUUUUCUCGGCGUAAACCCUCCGAUGCUCAAGUCAAAUAUGAAGGUUUUGUGUUCCUGGGAACAUUAGCCACUAGUCUUAAGCUUUGCUUUUAGUAUCGACUGUUGAAUGCUCUCUUUAUCUCAAUUUCUGUAUUAAAAGUUCUAACCCUUUUACCUUCGUUGGCUGCCUUUUUAUAGGCUCCUCCUGAGUCCAGAUCCUCCCCUCCAUUCACGUCCGUUACCUUCCCACCUCUCGAAAGUGGAUGCUCCGUUUCCGUAAUCGUGGGUGGUUGCAUGGCCUUCGUGCCUCGAUUCUCGGGCUGGAGAGUACGUCUUGCCAACUGUCGUUGAUUGGGUCUCCUCGCUUCAAACCUUAGCAGGACCAUUAUGCUUCUAACAGGAGAUCGGCUUCGCGGAUGGUGUAUUCGUGGACGAGCAGAUAUUCCUGCUUCUGUUCCCAUGCUACCAGACCUCAGCUCAUCACGGCUGGUCUCGUCGAAGUACAUCCCCCAAACAAUCUUCAUAUUAAUUACGAAAAUAUCCUCUAAAUUUUAACUUAACUAUUCAUAAUUCAAUGUCAUUCGGAUAUUUCGUUUAUUUGAGUAGGGAUUAGGGGUCAAUUUGAUACAAAUUCAAAAUUAUCCUCAUUUGCGAAGGUGAUAAAAGUUAGGGAUUUAGUUUGGAUGUCACUAGCCACAAAUAUUAAACGCAUGCAUCUAAUUCAAAAUUAGAGGCAUUAUCGUUAUAUUGACAUGUGUCACCAUCCCACAACCUCUCCAAUGAAAAAUUGACAUGCAUCUUGUGUGCUUCUUAUCAAAAUCCUGAAAAUUAAUCACAAAAGUUAUAUUUUUAUUAUAAAAAGAAGAAAGAAACUCCAUGAGUGAAGAAAAAAAAAAAAGACUUACAUUAAUAGUUUGGAUAAUCUAGAUUUCAAGUUGUCUAUAUUAGCUUGAUAUUUUUAUAAAUAUCAAGAUUUCAAGUUGUCUAUAGUAGCUUGAUAUCUUCUAAAAAAAACUCCAUCAACAUAUAUUUUAAUUUUACGUUAAUUAAUAAAUAGAAAAUCCAUUUUAGAAUUAAUUAAAGCAUUAUUUAUUGUUGCCAAAGAAGGAAGUAUUUAGCGAUAAGAAAAAAGUGUCUCAAAUAUAUGUUUAAAAAAAAAUAAUCAUGGUUGGUUGGACUGAUUGAAUUUUUCUUUUCUUUUUUCUUUUUUAAGAACUAAGACAAUUGGAUUGAUUGAGUAAUAAUAAAAUAUAUUUAUUUGGCAAAUGGCAGGUAGGCUUUCUUCUGGUGCAGAUUGAUUAGAGAGAAUAUAUAACAAUUUUAAGCUCGUAAGAUUCGGAACCUGCUUAUCUGUCGUGUGGGAAUCACUUCCGUGUCUUAUUUUUCUAGAAAAAUCUAGACCAUUGGAUUUACCAUUGGGCAGUAGAGAAAUGUUGAUCUUGAUUCCUGAUCAGGAUCGAAGUUUGAUUCUAUCUAACAUGAUAUCAGAUUGCGAAGCAAGCUAGUUGUGAGUAACUUGUUCUAUUUUGAUGGAAGAAACACAAGUUCUAAUAAAAAAUUCUAAGUAUACAUUUUUUUUUUUAAUUUUUUUAUUGUGAUCAAUAUAACUAGUCAAAUCUAUUUUUAAACAUUUUUUUUAAAUAUUUUGUUAACAAUGAUAUGAAAAUAUUCGAACCCCUCCUCAUAUAGUAAAGUGAAUUACUAUCCAACGAUCCAACUAACGUCUUCAAAUUGUAAAUUGCAAAUCGUGUGUUUGCUCCAUUACAGAGUUUCUUCAAUUUAAAAUAGAGAAUCGUUUGUGUUCUAGAUUAAUCGUGGGUCUAUAUCCAAAUCUAAAAAUUGACUAACUUGAUUUCUAUUAAAUUCUUAACCCUAACAAGAAAAAUAGAAGAUUAAAAAUGACUAAUUUGGUUUCUAUUAAUUUGAGUAACGAUUAAUAUUUAUCAUUCAAUAGUCACUUAUAUUAUCAAAAUCUUGGGUCGAAAAUAUUAGGAUAGGUGAUAAUUGGAAUUAAGUUGUAGAUAAGAUAGAAAUGGAUUUGGAGAGAGAUUGGAAUCCUGGGUAAAUCCGGUACACGUUGGUGUGUUAAAUUCUCGUUGACUUCACGUUGACCGAGGCAUUAUUGGAAGAAACAAGCAAGCUUAUUUUCUUCUCUCAUUUUUAACCUUUGUCUAAAUUUAUUGGUGUGAGGCCUUUGAGAUGGUAAAGUGUUAAAUCUGAGAAGAGUACCCACACUAUUACUCUUAUUUUAUCACGUUUUAUCACAAUAUUACUCUUAUAGUCAAUGUUUGAUUCGCACGAAAAAAAAUUUGCGAGGAUUGUGAGGGUUGAUGCAAUAUAAUUUAGAUGCAAAGUGUUUACAAGUGCGAUGCUUCGUAAGUGUACUCGAAUCAUUAUAAACUCACGUUAUUUUCAUAGUGAUUAUUUCAUUUGCACGUGAAUAUAAUCAUAUAUGUGGAGAAUUUUUUUUCCUAAAUUAUGGUCUUAUUUAGUAUUGAGAUGUUAUAUCUUUUAAAUUAUAAUUAAUAUUAGUAAAAAAACUGCAACUAUAAAAUAAAAGUUAAUAUUAUGUCCUGAAUAUAAUUGUUAAAUAAUAAUUUUGACAAAAUUAGUGAAGACAUACAGAUUUUUUUAUCAUAUAAGUGUAAAAUUCUAUCAACUUAGCUUUUAAGUUAUACAGCAUCUAUUGUUUACCAAAUACUUUAGUGUUGUAACUUUUAAGUUAUAACUGUCUAACCUUUAACCUCAAUCUCAAACGAGGCUUAUAAAGAUCAAGGAUUUCCUCAUAAAAAUUAUUACGUCAUGUGAUUGCUUAUUUAAUUUAUAUUUUCGUCAUUUAUCUUUAUUAAUUAAACAUGCACAUAUUAUUUCCUUUUAUUUUCUGCUUGGUAACCCGUAAAUACUAAUCCAGUACUACUAAUUUCAGACAGAAAAUUUUGAACUCUAGGCUGCAGUUUGACUCAAAAUGAUGGUCACUGGCUUCGCACCAUUUUACCGGUAUACAUUUCUACAAACUGAACAAGGCUAUUGAUUAUUAUUAUUAUUAUUUUAAUUUGUUUAUAAAUUACUAUUUUAAUUUUCACUUUUUAUUGGGUUGUUUAACGGAUUGGUGAAGCUGGUGGUCGUUGAUGCACUCACAAGGUACAAUUUUAUUUUAUAAUUUCAAAUUCGUAUUUUAAAACGCAGGUACAUUAUGUAUAUACAUAAUUAUUGAUUUUCGUAUGAGGGUGUUUUGAAAUAUUGCUAAAAGACCAAACUUUAAUAAACUAUUUUUGAUCUUUUUUUUUUUUCCUAAAGUUUGGGUGAUAUGCGCAUUUUAAAUUCACGUGGAACAAAAGUUAAUGUAUGUAUAAAAAUUCUUUUAUUUUACUGAGCAAAAUAGGCAAGCGAAAAAGUUUUGGCAAAUGAGUUGCAACUGAAUUCAAAACCAAUACAAUGCGAGCAUAGGAAAGAGGCCAGUGUUUAGGAUUUGAAUUUAGGUAGCGUUUACUUUUUGGAUUGGAUUGGGAAUCCUGGGGAGUGGGAAUCCUAGGAUUGAGAGUGUGGAGUGGGAGUGGGAGUAGGUUGUUUACUUACACUGGAAUGGAAGCAUGGAAUGGAGAUCAGAAUCCAAUUUAUGUGUUUACUUUGUCUUGGAUUGGGAGUAAAUAGUUUCAAAUUACAAUUUUAUCCUUAUUUAAAGAAUUAUAAUUUUAAUUACAAAACUAAUAAAAUAUAUAUUUAAUGAAUAAUAUUUAUUUUAUUAUAUUUGUAAAUUUAUUAUAAUUAUUAAUAUUCUUAAUUAUGAACAAUAAAUUAUUAAUUGUAAUUUUAAUAUAAAAUGAAAUGUUAUUUUAUUUAAUAUAAUUAUAUUAAAUUUAUUAUUAUAUAAAAUAAUAAUAUAAUAUUAUUUAGUACAAAAUUAAUAUUUUCUUAGAAUAAAGUAUUUAUUAUUAUUAUUAAAUAAAAUAUAGUACUAUUAUUUUUAAAAUAAAUAUAAUAAUAUUAUAUUUAUUAAUUCUCUAUUAAUAUAAUAAUAUUAUUUUAAAAUAAUUUUAACUUAGAAUCAAUGUAAAUUAUUAUUUAGUUAAAUAUAAUAUUAUUAUUUAAAUAAAUAUAAUAUUAUUAUUUAAAUAAAUAUAAUAUUAUUUAUUUUAUUUUAUUAAUUAUAAAACAUAAAAUAAAAAAAAAAAGGGUAGAAAUGGGAGAGGUGGGAGUGGAUUCCCACUCCCACCUCCCCCAAUGGGAGUCCCACUCCCACUCCCCACUCCAAAAAUGGGUGGGGCCCACGGAGUGGGACUCCCAAUUCCUUCUCAUUUUAAGUAAGUAAACGCUGGAGUGGGAGGAAUCCACACUCCUCACUCCCACUCCAGCAAGUAAACACAACAUUAGUAUUAAGCUGAAUUUUAUGGUAAGCUCUUUUAUAGUACUGUGAUUGAUAAGCUCAGCCCCGGAUUUGCUUUUGCUUUUGCUUUUACUUCAAGUGAAAGAGAGAGGAAACCUUUUGUUUUUUUCUUUGGUUUUCAACUAUGUUACCUAUACAAAGAGUCAAGAUACCUGCCAUAAGUGAUGGUGUUAAAAAGAUUAAGCAGCGCACACAAUCUUACUGUCGUCUAGACCAUCCAGUGAUGACUCUAGUCUUUUGGUUACGUUAGCUUUAGUUGAAAGAAGGGCCAAUUUAACAAAGACUAGAUUUGAUGGCUUACUAUGUUUAAUGUAAUGCUAAUUCUCAGGGAAUCUAAUGUUAUAACUUAUAAGACGAUCUCCUAUGAUGAAUAACAGUAACACAUUACUGUGAUUGAGAAAACUCAGUUACAAUAAACUAUUCAUUUACUCAUUGCGGAGAUUGAAUAGCAAAUAGAGAAUAGAAUGAAGCAGAGGAAUCUCAUUGCCAAUAAAAUUGACCCUCUUUAAUGUUAUAUGGCACAGGUGUGGAGGAAGAACAAGUUACUUGCAGUUUUUAUUGUAAAAUAUACAGGUAUGACCAUGAUCAUUACAGUUGGGUUUUGAUAAUUUCAGAUGCUUUUUAAAAAAAAAAAAAAUUAUGACAUCUUUGAUUUACGGUAGUUUUGCAGAAAAAAAAAUAUAAAAAUUAAGAGGGAUGAGUUAAACUGACGAUUACAAUCAUUCCAGCAAUGCUGAUGAGUGAUACAUCACUUGAAAUUUACUUGUCAGUUGCUGAAAUGAUGAAAAAAAAACAAUAAACGAUAACAGUAAUAAUGUUCCGUUGCUGAAAUUCAAUUUUGACUUUCUACUCUUGGCUUUUAUGGAAAGUAAAAUGACUUGUAUAUUAUCCUCAUACAAUCCACUCUACAUAAUGAUAUCAUUUUAAUAAGGCAAUGGCUGAUGAUCUCCAUUUAAAAACUACAUCAUUUUUUUUGCUUCAUUUAACUUUUUGGUUGUUGAAAAUAACCUUAAUUAUCAAAUAAUUGGAGAAAGAGUAAAGAACAUUUAACAAAUUUAUGUGCAAAAAAAAAAAAGGAGAAGUUGAAGAGAAAGGGUGCUUGCAGAAGUGGGUGUCAAAGAUAAAUCGGUCCAUAAGAAUUAUUGUGGUUAUUUUUUUGGCAAUAUAAGAACUUAUGCGAUAGCAUUUUUUAUGGGUGCAUAUAACCUCCCUUUAAAAAUAUAUAUAAUAAUUACUGCUUAAUAUAGUAUUAAAUACAAAAAUAUCAAUAUUUGACUACUUAAAUUUAUAUCAUUAGGUCCUUAAAAUUUAAAAUGGAAGAUAUGAAAGGAAAUAUAUAUAAAUUUCAUUGUCCUGGUAAAGGGCCCUCUUAUAAUCUUAUAAUAUUUGAACUUUGAUAGAUUUUUUGAAACAAAUGUACUUUUAUUUGUGUACAAUCAAUAUUUACUCAUUUAUUAUAUUUUAAUUUAUUAACUAUUAAUCAUGUAAGUAUACUUAGUCAGAAAAAUUAUAUCAAGAGAAAAUUCUAAUUUCACGCAAAAACAAAUACCAAAACAAAUAUCUCAAUUUCUAUACUAUUCACUUUCCUGUAGAAUCAAUUAUUUAAAAUGCAAGUUUGUGGCUACAGAAAACUCGCCAAAGAAAAAAGAUAAUAACAAUUGAGCAUUGAUAGCAAAACUAAUGCAUCCAAUUCUUCUUGACUUGAUGAGAUGGCGCCAUAACGUAGACACAAGUACCUAAAUUGACCGGCACUGAGUGAUGUGAAUACUACCAGCCAGUUCAUCUCUUCCAGUCUUGCUUAAUCACAAUCACAAACACCACGAGAUCGACAUUUGCAUUAUAUAUAUCUUCUGCAAUCGAAACACCUUGCAUUACCAAAUAAGCCCGUAACAGACAAAGCAAUCUUUCAUGGAGAGAAACCUUAGUCUCAGUAUGAUCACUGUGUCAUUAACCUACUGCCUGCUUCUUUGCUUGGUUGCUGCAGCAGCAGCAGCGGCAAGCAACAAUAUUACCACAGACCAACAAGCUCUUCUUGCCCUGAAAGAUCAUAUAAUUUAUGAUCCUACCAGCCUUUUAGCUCACAAUUGGACCUCGAAUACCUCUGUUUGUACCUGGAUUGGCAUCACUUGUGAUGCCAAUAGCCAUAGAGUCAAAACCUUAGAUAUUUCUCAAUUCAAUCUACAAGGCACCAUCCCUCCUCAACUUGGAAAUCUCUCUUCACUCACAACACUUAAUCUUAGUCAUAACAGGCUUUCUGGAAGUGUUCCCUCCUCCAUCUACACCAUGCAUACGCUAAAAUUUCUUGACUUCACUGAUAACCAGCUCUCUGGUUCAGUGUCUUCCUUCGUCUUCAACAUGUCUUCAAUAUUAGUAAUUCGUUUGACCAAUAACAUAUUUUCUGGUGAGCUUCCGAAAAAUAUUUGCAACUAUCUUCCUUAUUUGAAGGCCCUUUUCUUAAACAAAAACAUGUUUCAUGGCAAAAUUCCUUCUGCUUUAUCAAAGUGCAAACAACUGCAACAAUUAAAUUUGCAGUUCAAUAAUUUAUCCGGUGCAAUACCAAAAGAAAUCGGCAACUUGACUAUGCUCAAAGGGAUAUAUCUCCUCUACAACAAACUCCACGGUAUGUUCACAAUACUAUAUAAAUAUUUUAAUUUAUCACUUAUUAUCUUUCUUGAAUAAUUUAGUUAAGAUCUUGUAAGAGAGAUUUUUUGCAUCUACGUUAAUUUACCAGGUGAGAUACCCCACGAAAUCGCUAAUCUUCCAAAUCUAGAGGCUUUAGCGCUUGGAAUCAACAACGUAGUUGGUGUGUUACCAGCUCCCAUCUUCAACAUGUCAACACUGAAGGUACUUAUCCUCAUAAAUAACUCUCUCUCCGGAAGCCUUCCAUCAAGAGUAGACCUUUCACUUCCAACUGUUGAGCAACUUAACUUGGCACUUAAUAGAUUUUCUGGAACCAUUCCUAGUUCCAUCACCAAUGCUUCUAAGCUCACCUUUCUAGAGUUGGGAGCAAACACAUUUUCGGGGUUUAUUCCAAACACAAUUGGUAAUUUAAGAAACCUUAAGUGGCUCGGCUUGGCUAAUAACUCCUUGACAUCUUCAACCUCAAAAUUGAGCUUUCUUUCCUCUUUGGCAAAUUGCAAGAAAUUAAGAUUCGUAAACGUAAUAGGCAAUCCACUGGACGGCUUCCUUCCAAGUUCAAUAGGUAAUCUUUCUGUGUCUUUGGAAACACUUGGCAUCGGCAAUUGCAGUAUUAGUGGCAACAUUCCUCCAGCAAUUAGCAAUUUAAGCAACUUGUUGACCUUAGUAUUAGACGGCAAUAAAUUGACUGGACCAAUCCCAACUACAUUCGGCCAACUGCAGAAACUCCAAGGCUUAGAUCUUGCAUUCAAUAAGUUGGUAGGUUCAUUCCCAGAUGAGCUUUGCCAUCUGGCAAGGCUGGAUCAAUUGGUCUUAUUUGGCAAUAAGCUUUCAGGAUCUAUACCUUCAUGCUUAAGUAACCUCACUUCUCUAAGAUCUCUCUAUUUAGGGUCCAAUAAGUUUACUUCUGUUUUUCCCUCAACCUUCUGGAGCCUAAAAGACAUCUUGUUCUUUGACUUUUCAUCAAAUUUCUUGGUUGGUCCUCUUUCUUUAGAUAUAGGAAAUUUGAAGGUGCUUCUAGGAAUAAGUUUAUCAAAAAAUAAUUUAUCCGGUGAUAUCCCAGCCACAAUUGGAGGACUGAAAGAUCUUCAAUUUAUGGACCUAGCAUAUAAUAGAUUGGAAGGCCCAAUUCCUAAAUCAUUUGGUGACUUGAUAAGUUUAGAAGUUCUGAAUUUAUCAAAUAAUAAAAUCUCUGGGUCUAUUCCAACAUCCAUGGAGAAACUCUUUUACCUCGGAGAGUUAAAUCUCUCUUUCAAUAAACUAGAAGGUGAGAUUCCUAGUGGAGGAACUUUUGCCAACUUCACAGCUGAGUCAUUUAUGGGAAAUGAGUUUUUGUGUGGUUUACCAAAUCUUCAAGUCCAACCAUGCAAAGUUAGCAAGCCGAGGACAGAACAUAAAUCAAGGAAAAAGAUACUUCUCAUUGUGAUUGUUUUGCCAUUGAGUAUUGCUCUAACAAUAGCAAUCACUCUAGCUCUCAAAUCUAAGCCGAUCGAAUGUGGAGAAAGAAGCACAGUGUUGUCAAAUGAUAGUAUCUUGUCAUCACAAGCAACACUAAGAAGAUUUUCAUACUUAGAACUUUUACAAGCAACAGAUAAUUUUGCUGAAAACAGCAUAAUUGGCAGAGGAGGUUUCGGUUCCGUUUAUGGAGCAAGACUUGAAGAUGGGAUGAAGAUUGCAAUAAAAGUGUUUCACCGGCAAUGUGCAAGCGCAUUGAAGAGUUUUGAGGCUGAAUGUGAAGUGUUAAAAAAAAUUCGCCAUCGAAACCUUAUCAAAGUUAUCAGCAGUUGCUCGAACGAUGACUUCAAAGCAUUAGUCCUAGAAUACAUGUCCAACGGGAGCUUAGGGGAUUGGCUGCAUUCGAGCAAUUACGUGCUGAAUAUUUUUCAAAGGUUGAACAUAAUGAUUGACGUUGCAUCAGCUUUAGAAUACCUCCACUUCGAUCAUUCAACUCCUAUUAUUCAUUGUGACUUAAAGCCUAGUAAUGUAUUGUUGGACGAAAAUAUGGUUGCUCAUUUGAGUGAUUUUGGCAUAGCAAAGCUUUUAAGUGGAGAAGAUGAGUCUACGAUGCGAACAAAAACCCUUGCCACUAUAGGUUAUAUGGCACCAGGUUUGCUUCAAACAACUUUUUUUUUUAAGUUCAUUUUAAAUUUUCUAAAUCAUUGAUUUUUACGAUCCUCAUAUCAAAUUGUUAUUGAUUAUUUAUCUAAUUGUGAAAUUAAUUUGAUUCAUAGAGUAUGGCAUAGGAGGAGAAGUAUCUACAAAAAGCGAUGUUUACAGCUACGGGAUUAUGUUGAUGGAAACUUUUACCAAGAAAAAACCCACAGAUGAAAUUUUUGUUGGAGAAUUGAGCUUAAAGCAUUGGGUUAAUGACUUGCUUCCUAAUUCAUUAGUGGAAGUUGUGGACAAAACUCUGCUAAGUGGAGAGGAAAAACAUUUUGCAUCAAAGGGGCAAUGUCUGUUGUCUAUCUUUAGUUUGGCUCUGGAGUGUACAAUGGAAUCACCGGAAAAGAGGAUUAAUGCAAAAGAUAUUGUUACCGGAUUACUCAAGAUAAGAGACACAUUGAGUAAAAGGAUAGGAAAUUUAAGUUAAUUUCGUUUGCUUUCAUUGAUAGUUAAUUCGAAUUCAUGUAAUAAGUGCAAGAAUCUUAUAUCUUUUCCUUUGAUAUAUUCUUUUUCUUGAGAAAACUGUUGUAGUCAUCUUGUUUCCAUGGGAAGAGUUGAUUUAGUUCUUCCAAAAAAUGCUACUGAUGACCUUUGUUUAAUACUUUCUCUUUUUUUGCACGUGUUUAGGUAGAACAGUGGUUUGGCUGCAGGCUAAUAAGUCAAGCUACGCCAAAAGCGUAUGAUUUAAUUUAUUAAACAUAACUUCAAGUUCAAGAAGUGUUUCUCAUUGCCACCAAUGCUUUGGACACCUGUUGGAAGGUUUGUUGUCCUCAGCUUUUGUUUAGAGCAAAAGUUCGAGUCCCAUAAAGGCUCAAACAUUCCUUUCCUUCAUCCCGAGGGCGCCUUCUGUCCUCUGUUUUCUGUUUCCACACACAAAUAGCAAAAAGAAAUUAGAAUGACAACUGGGACAUAUAUAAGAGUGAAAUAAUUAAAAAAAUUAUGCUUUUUUGUCUGUCGUGUUAAAAUCGUAAGUACCGAAGUACUGUGAAAGAGAUUAAUUUACAGAAACUGAAGCCAAGGGUUCAAAAAAAAACUAUUGAUGUAGCUAGGAUGCAAUGUCAUAUUCAUACAGAGAUGAAGUAUAUUAUUUACGGCUGGUAAAGACUAGGAAUUGAUGUAGCUAGAAUCCAAAGAUGAUAAGGUAUGUUGUGCACUAUUGUUUUAUUCUACGGUCAAUCUUGACCCUUGGUGCUUGGCUCUCAAUCUUGUCCAUUGAUCUUCUCUGAUCUUGGAAACUUCAAGACCUUUCACUCUCAUGCCUUAUUAUUGGUGUCUUCCAUGCUGUAGCUUUCAAAUACAAGCUUUCCCGCCAACUUGCCAAUUAUUUGUCCGUUGGUGCAUUUUAUCAAACAGUUUGGAUACUUAUACCAAACGCCUUCUGUUUUAACUCCCCCCCUCAAGCUCAAGCAUCUGGGAAGACAUUAAUAAGCUUGUUUCUCAAGUAUAUAUAUCUGAAAAUUAAAUUUUAUAAAUUAUAUUCGGACUCUACAUUUUCUAAUGAACAUUGGUUUGGCUUAUAAGCUUAUUAUACUCAGGUUUGGUAGGAGCCAUAUCACAAUGUUAACGCUAACCAGCAGUACUGCCAAAGCUGGCCAACUCAGCCUGCAAGUUCAUAGCAACCAUAGUUACAGUCCUAGUCCGGUACAAAAAUCGUAAAUAUCAUUUACAUUACAAUGGUGUGGGGGGGGGGGGGGGGGUUUGUUGGGUGGCUGGAGAGGGAAUCAACAAAGAUCUAGAACGAAGGGUAGGCUUGUAUCCGUAACCCAUGUCACAGUGUUAAUGCUAACCGUGGACCUUAUUAUAUUAGUUGCUGGACUAUUAUUACUUUUGAAUUGCCAUCUUUGAAUUUACGUUCAUUUCUGCCUCGACAAGAUGUUUGUAAAAAUAUGCUAAUUAUUAAUGUGCCGUGUACAAAUAAGCAUGUUACUGUGCAAGGAUUGUAGUCAUGAUACAGUGGUGCAAAAUGUACAUGCUACUUCUUCUUUUCCUCAGUUAGGAUCACCGUCGUCACCAUUUAAUUCUAAGUCCACCCAUGCGGCCUAUGCAAUUGAAAUCAUGUGACCAUGUAAUUUUAGGUUCUGAUCUUCCUUGUGGGGUUAAACCUCAAAACUGUGACCAUUUUGGGACUUUUAAUCAGUUCCAAUCAUUUUCUGGUUCCCAUUCGUCCACCCAAGCCUUGAUUCCCCCGAUAUAGCAUUGCAAUAUAUAUAGGAAUAUUAAGGUUGUGUACAGUUUUUUUCUUUUCUGUUUUUAAUUUGAUAUAAAUUAUCAAUCAUGAAUCUACAUAAAGUUUCAACUAGGCUACUACCACAAUAAACAUUUGGAUGAACUAUUAUUGAAACCUUAUUGAGAAGUAGGACAUGUCGCAUACCAAUGCACUGACAUAUCUUCAAAUAGUGGUAACUCCACACAACAUGGCACAAUAAAUUAAGAGUUAUAUAGAUAAAAUCUUUCACUCUUUGGUAAUCAUCAAUGUCGGCAUGACAAUGCGUCCCACAAAUAUGGCUCCUUAUCAAAAUUCAUAAAUCAAAACAAAAAUAGAGAAUCAUAUUUGUUCUAGAUUGUAGUGAUGGUUGUUGAUGCACUCACAAUUUACAAUUUUAUUUAAUAUCUUCAAAUUCGCAUUUUAAAAUGCCCAAAUGUUUGUGUAUACAUAAUUAGUAAUCGAUUCUCAAGCAUGGCCAUUUAAAAGCAUUGCUGAAAGACAAAAUUUUAAUUUACUAUUUUUUGUCUUUUAAUUUUCUUUAAGUUUUUAAUGAUUCCGCAUUUUAAAAUCCUGUGGAACGUGUAUGUAAAAUUCUUUUAUCUUUUAGAGGAAAAUGGGCAAGAGAAGAAGAUUUGGCAAAGGAAUUGCAACCGCAUUUGGAGCUAGUUUUAAUUUUGUCUUUUAAUUCUUUUACACUUGGCUUUUGUUAUUGAUGUCAACUUCGAUGUGUGUGAAGACUCGAGCUCACUCCCUUAUGAGCUAGUUUUAUUUUUCUACUUUCACAUUAAGAAAAAUACUCCUAUUUUUAAGGAAAAGUCAAGUACCUGUAGUUGUGAAGACUCGAGCUCACUCCCUUAUGAUAAAUCUUCAUAUUAAUUACGUAAAUAUCCUCUAAAAUUUUAAAUUAGCUAUUCAAAAUUUGAUGUUAUACGGGUAUUUCAUUUAUUUGAGUAGGGGUUGGGGGUCAAUUGGAUACAAAUUCAAAAUUAUCCUUACUUGAGAUGGUGAUAAAAAUUGGGGAUUUAAUUUGGAUGUCAUUAGCUACAAAUAUUAAACUCAUACAUUUAAUUCAAAAUUGGAAAGCUGAUAUAUGCGCAUCAUCCCACAACCUCUCCAAUGAAAAAUUAACACGUUUCUUGUGUGCAUUUGAUCAGAAUCCUGAAAAUUAAUCACAAAAUUGUCCUGGAAAAAAAAAUGCUUACAUAAAUGGUUUGAAAAAUCUAGAUUUCAAGUUGUCUAUAUUAGCUUGAUAUUUUUAUAAAUAGUCAUCCUCUCAAAAAAAUUCCAUCAAAAUAUAUUUUAAUUUUAUGUUAAUUCAUAAACAUGAAAAAAUCAUUUCAGAAUUAAUUAAAACAUAAUUUAUUGUUUCUCAAAAAAGGUAGAACUUAGUGAUAAGAAAAAAGUAUCUCAAAUAUAUGUAAAAAAAAAAAAAUCUUGGUUAGUUGGAAUGAUUGAAUUUGUUUUUUUUUUCUUUUUUAAGAAUUAAGACAAUCGGAUUGAUUGAGUAAUAAUAAUAUAUAUUUAUUUGGCAAAUGGCAGGUAGGCUUUCGUCUCAUGCAGAUUGAUUAGAGAGAAAAUAUAACAAUUUUAAGCUCGUCAGAUUCGAAGCUGCUUUCCUGUCGUGUGGGGAUCACUUCCGUGUCUUAUUUUUCUAGAAAAAUCAGGACCAUUGGAUUUAUGCGAAUCGUACUGAACAUUGGAAUUGAUGUAUAAGAAAAAAAUUCUGUAGUUUAAGAAGAACAAAAAGGCAUGUUGAAUAGAUUACAAUAGUUUAAGGAAAAAAAUUAUUCAAUUGGGAAUUUUUUUUUCUUUAAUUUUUGUUGUACUUGAUUGAGAUUUCUCCUUAGUCCUUAGAGUUUUAAGUUUGGAAACCGUAGGAUCAGUAAUUUCGUACUUCCUUUGCAAGCUGAGUAUAAGGAUGAAAUUCUUUUAAGAAAUUAAAAAAGAUAAAAAAAAAGCAUACCAAUAGGUAAUUAUAAAUAACCACAAAUAAAUAUAAACAAAAUGUUUAUGAAGUAAAUUAAACAUGCUCAUAUUAUUUUCUUUUAUUUUCUGCUUGGAAACCCAUAAAUACACUAAUCCAGUAUUACUAAUUUCAGACAGAAAAUUUUGAAUUUAACCAGUAUACACUAAUCCAGUAUUAUUUUUAUUAUUAUUUUAAUUUGUUUAUAAAUUACUAUUUUAAUUUGUUUAUAAAUUACUAUUUUAAUUUUCACUUUUUAUUGGGUUGUUUAACGGAUUAGUGAAGCUGGUGGUCGUUGAUGCACUCACAAGGUACAAUUUUAUUUUAGAAUUUCAAAUUCGUAAUUUAAAAUGCAGGCACAUUAUGUAUACAUAAUUAUUGAUUUUCAUAUGUGGGUGUUUUGAAAUAUUGCCAAAAGACCAAACUUUAAUAAACUAUUUUUGAUCUUUUUUUUUCCUUUGUACCUAAAGUUUGAGUGAUAUCCGCAUUUUAAAUUCAUGUGGACCAAAAGCUAAUGUAUGCACAAAAUUCUUUUAAUUUUUUCCGAGAAAAAUGGGUAAGAGAAGAAGAUUUUUCUCUUGAAAAAGAAAAAAUAAUACGUUGCAAGCAUAGGAAAGAGGCCAGUGUUUUGGAUUUGAAUUUAGUAUUGGGUUGAAUUUUAUGCUAAGCUCUUUUAUAAUACUUUAUAGAAUAAAAAUGUAAGGGAUAUUUGGCUAGGCAUGUACUUUAUAGAAUAAAAAUGUAAUAAUGUAAGUCAGUGCAAUGAUCUGCUGUCAUAGUAGUUAUAAAUAUUUAUGUGUAAUACAGUAACAUGAUGCUUAAUCAGUUAAAAAAAAAUUGUAUAUCUUUUUUUAUUUUUUUUAUUGUGAUCAAUAUAACUAGUCAAAUUUAUUUUUAAAUAUUUUUUUAAAAAUAUUUUUAUCGUGUGUUUGCUCCAUUACAGGGUUUCUUCAAUUUAAAAUAGAGAAUCAUUUGUGUUCUAGAUUAAUCGUGGGUCUAUAUCCAAAUCCAAAAAUUGACUAACUUGAUUUCUAUUAAGUUCUCAACCCUAACAAGAAAAAUAAAAGAGUAAAAAUGACUAUUUUGGUUUCUAUUAAUUUGAGUAACGCUUAAUAUUUAUCAUACAAUAGUCACUUAUAUUAUCAAAAUCUUGGGUCGAAAAUAUUAGGAUAGGUGAUAAUUGGAAUUAAGUUGUAGAUAAGAUAGCCUUUCAAAAAAAAGAAAAGAAAAAAAGUUGUAGAUAAGAUAGAAAUGGAUUUGGAGAGAGAUUGGAAUCCUGGCUAAUCCGGUGCACGUUGUUGCGUUAAAUUCUCGUUGACUUCACGUUGACCGAAGCAUUAUUGGAAGAAACAAGCAAGCUUAUUUUCUUCUCUCAUUUUUUACUUUUGUCUAAAUUUAUUGAUGUGAGCCCUCUGAGAUGGUAAAGUGUUAAAUCUGAGAAGAGUACCCACACACCCAUUUGUUGGAGGAUUAACAAUUAAAACACACUAUUUUAUUUCUUCAACAACACUCCUCACCAAUUACAACUCUUAUUUUUCACUCUCUACACCUUAGAGAUUUUGCUGCUUCACUUGAUGUUUAAACCAAAAGGGAGAGGGGGUAUUUAUAUAUGAAACAAACUAAUCACAACCAUUCAUUUAUUCAACUAAUAAACACAUCCUCACCAUCCAUUAAAACCUACCACUCACCUACUUCACCAACCACACCUAACACACCUAACACAAAUAAUUCAAACCUCACCAACCAUACCUACUCAUGGAACCUUCCAUGAGUUGGGCUUGAUUUAUUCAUCUUGGAUCAAGUUUAUGAUCCAACACCUCUCCUUAAACUUGAUCCUGUGACACCAAGCAAACUUCUGAAUCUUACAAAGUCUUCUUGUUUGAGUGGUUUAGUGAAGAUAUCAGCUGCUUGAUCUUGUGAUUUUACAUACUUGAUUUGCACUUCUUUUCUUGCAAUACACUCUCUUAUGAAAUGAUAGCGAGUGGCUAUGUGUUUACUUCGAUCAUGAAAGACUGGAUUCUUGGAUAGGGCAAUUGCUGAUUUGUUAUCAACACAAAUCUCAGUUGGCUCUUCUUGUGCCAAACUCAACUCCUUUAGCAAAUUUCUGAGCCAAAUUGCAUGACAAACACUUGAUGUGGCAGCUACAUAUUCAGCUUCACAGGUGGAUAGCGUGACAAUUGGUUGCUUCUUUGACAUCCAUGUGAAAGCAGUAUCUCCUAUGAAGAACACAAAUCCUGUGGUGUUAUUUCGAUCAUCUACAUCUCCACCCCAAUCGCUAUCGCUAUAUCCAACAAGCUUGUAGUCAUUAGAAAAUGAGUAUAGCAAGCCGAAAUUAGUUGUACCUUUGAUGUAGCGAAGGAUUCUUUUUGCAGCUUUAAAAUGGGUGGUCUUUGGAUUCUCCAUGUAUCGGCUCACAAGUCCAACAACAUAAAGGAUAUCUGGUCUUGUGCAUGUCAAAUAACGUAGGCUUCCAACCAAACUUUUAAAGAAUGUUGGAUCUAUAUCUUCGCCUUCAUCAUGUUUGGAUAACUUGACUCCGCAUUCCACUGGCGUGCUUAUAGGCUUACAAUCAUUCAUCUUGAACUUCUUGAGAAUCUCCUCUGCAUAGCUUUCUUGGGAGAUAAAUAUGCUUUCUUCCUUUUGCUUGACUUCAAUGCCGAGGUAAUAUGCCAUCAGUCCGAUGUCAGUCAUCUCGAACUCUUUGAUCAUCACUCUCUUGAACUCUUCAAACAAGCCUGGAUUACUUCCAGUGAAAAUGAGAUCAUCCACAUACAGGCACACAAUCAAAAUAUCUCCAUAUUUUUCUUUGACGUAGAGAGCAUGUUCAUAUGGGCAUUUGGUGAAGCCUUUCUCUUGAAAAUACUUGUCAAUUCUGCUAUUCCAUGCCCUUGGUGCUUGCUUUAACCCAUAAAGAGCUUUCUUCAAUCUCAAAACUUUGUCCUCGUGUCCUUUCACCACAUAGCCUAAUGGUUGUUCGAUGUAAACUUCUUCUUCAAGGAAUCCAUUCAAGAAAGCAGACUUCACAUCCAUUUGAAAAAUCUUCCAUUUGUUCUGAGCAGCCAAAGAAAUAAUAAGUCUAAUAGUUUUAAGUCGAGCUACAGGAGCAAAUACCUCGUCAUAGUCUAUGCCAGCCUUUUGACUAUAGCCUUUUGCAACUAGCCUCGCCUUGUGCCUUUCAAUUUCUCCCUUCGCAUUUCUUUUUGUUUUAUACACCCAUUUGACACCGAUCGCCUUGUGACCUUUUGGAAGAGUAGUAAGCUCCCAAGUAUCAUUCUUCACAAUGGCUUUGAUUUCUUCAUCCAUUGCAAUUCUCCACUUCUCAUCUAGUGCAGCUUCUUGGAAGUUGACUGGCUCACAAUCAGCAAAGAGGCAAAAGAGAGUGAGAUUAUCAUGUCUCUCAGUUACCUCAUAGAGAUCUUGAAGACUCCUUGCACGUUCUUCGGUUCUUUCAUUUAAGAAAGACGGCGGUGAAUCUCCGCAUGUGGUUGGUGCUGGUGAGAUAGGUGGAGUGGCAGGCUCUUGUUGUUCGUCUACUUGUUUUACCUGUGUAUGAUCAUCUUCUUCAAUGGGAAAGAAGUUGAAGUCAUCCACACCAGAGCCAAAAUCUCAUUCUCCUUCUUCAUCAAAAAUUACAUCUCGACUGAUCACAAUCUUUCCGUUGUUUGGAUUGUAAAGCUUGUAUCCUUUGGAGUUGUUGUCGUAGCCGAUGAAGAUGAACAACUCACUUUUGUCAUCCAGCUUGGCUCUACUUUCGUCUGGUACAUGUACAUGGGCAAUGCUUCCGAAAACUCUUAGAUGGGUGAUGCCAGGUUUUCUUCCACUCCAAGCUUCUUGUGGCGUCUUGCCCCACACGCUUCUUGUUGGAGAUCGAUUGGAUAAGUAGAUUGCACAUGCAACUGCUUCAGCCCAAAAUUCUUUAGGUAGCCUCUUACUCUUAAGCAUGCUUCUUGCCAUGUCGAGGAUGGUUCUGUUCUUCCUUUCUGCAACACCAUUUUGUUGGGGGGAUCUUGGAACUGUCAAAGGGCGUCGAAUUCCAUUUGCUUCACAAAACUCUAAAAAUUCUUUGGAAGUGAACUCUCCACCUCGAUCAGAUCUCAUGGCUUUAAUCUGGUAUCCACUUUCUUUUUCAACUGCAGCUUUAAACUUCUUGAAAGCUUCAAAGACUUCUGAUUUUUGCUUCAAAAAAUACACCCAAGUUUUUCUUGAAAAAUCAUCUAUAAAAAGAAUGAAGUAGUUACUUUUACCAAGGGAGUUUGGCUUGAAUGGACCGCACACAUCAGUAUGAAUGAGCUCGAGUGGCUUCUGAGCUCUUGAGUUUGACUCCUUUGGAAAGCUCUUUCUGAACUGCUUGCCAAGUAAACAUCCUUCACAAAGUUGAUCAGGGUGAUUGAUGUAUGGUAAGCCUUUCACCAUGUUCUUCUUAGAGAGUAGCUCCAGUCCUCUAAAGUUGAGAUGCUCAUAUCGAAGAUGCCAAGUCCAGGAUUGAUCUUUGUGACAGGCUUUGAGACAUUUUGCAACAUCAUUUUGAAUAUUUAAAGGAAACAUUCUAUUCUUUGACAUUCUCACUUUUGUAUUUAGAUUUCCUUUUUCAUCUCUUAGAAAAAGACUAUAAUCUUUUAAGUGAAUAUCAUAGCCCUUUUUCUAAAAGUUGACCUAAACUAAGAAUGUUGCUUUUCAUAUUGGACACAUAGUAAACAUUCGAAAUUAUUUGGUGGCUACCAUCUUUUGCACGAAAAAGAAUGUUACCUCUACCCUUCACUGGUACUUUUGAAUCAUCUCCAAAAGUGACACUGCCAUUCACAAAUUCACUUAGUUGCACGAACAUGCUUCUGUUUCCACUCAUAUGAUUGCUAGCACCUGUGUCAAGAUACCAUGUAUUUUCUUGACCUCCAUUUGUGUCAUUGCGUGCUAGUAAAAGUGUGUCAUCUUCACCAUUUUUCUCUUCAGCAUAGUUCACUCUCUCUUUAAUUCUGGUGCUUGGAGCUCUGCAUUCUGAAGCAUAAUGCCCAAACUUUUGACAAUUAUAGCACUGUACUUGGGAUUUGUCAUACCUCGAUCUUGAAUUGCCUCUGCCUUGUUCUCUGGUUGAGCUUUCUCCUUUGGCAUAAUUGGAGUUGUUGUUGUUGAAAUUCCAACCUCGUCCAUGACCACGACCUCUACCUCGUCCUCGACCUCUACCUCGGACAUAGUGCCUUCUCUCAUUGUCGGAGCUUUCUUCUCUUUUCUUUGGAUUGACUUCCAUCUUGAGAAGUUGUUCUUCGAUUCCUUGCUUCUUUUUUUGUUUUUCUUCAUAGGCUUGCAACCUUCCUUGAAGUUGCUCGAUCGUCAUAUCCUCCAGAUCUCUUGUUUCUUCAAUUGUCAUAACAAUAUGAUCAAACUUCGAGUCUACUGAUCGAAGUAUCUUUUCAAUGAUCCUUACCUCUUUUAACUCCUCGCCAUUUCUUUUUAAUUCAUUGGAAACGGUCACAACUCGAGUAAAGUAGUCAGAAAUUGACUCCGACACCUUCAUGUGUAAGGACUCAAAUUCUCCUCGUAAUGUUUGGAGACGAACCUUCUUAACUUGCUCUGCUCCUUUGUAAGAGGUCUUUAGUUUCUCCCAUGCUUCUUUUGAGGAGGUUGUACCAGCAAUCUUUUCAAAAGCAUCUUCAUCUAAUGAUUGAAAGAUGAGAUACUUUGCUUUAUUCUCUUUCUUCUUCAAGUCUUUUAAAUUCUCCUUCUGCGCCGCAGUUAAAGUGGCUUCAUUUUCUGGCACAAUAAAGCCUUUCUCCACGACAUCCCAUACGUCAUGUGCACUCAAUAGAGCCUUCAUUUUAAUACUCCAAUUGUCAAACUUACUUCCUUUUAAUUGUGGAACUUGAAAUGACAUCAUCAUACCACCGUUUGCCAUAACUCACAAAUUGAGUGAGAAUUUGGAGAUUCUGAAUGCACAGAUGGAUCCGGCACGUCGAAAAACCUUGGGAAGGACUCGAGUCAACUUUCGGUCAACGGUCAACGUCGGUCAACGGUCAACACCGGCUUGGUAGUCUCGGUUCGGUCCGGAUUGGUUCAGCUCGAGUUGGCUCGGUUCGACUUGAUUCGGUUCAGCUCGGCUCGGCUUGGUUCAGUUCGGCUCAGCUUGGUUCAACUCGGUGAGUCGACUCAGCUUCAGGACAUAAAACUUCCGGCGGCAGGUGUGGGCGCGUACGGUCUCGGAUCGGGAUGAUUUUUGCGGCGUCACGUUCCUCUCGUCGAGAUCUUCGAUUUGAUAUGCUAUAUGACUAUAUAUAGCAUCAAACACUAGCUCUGAUACCACUUUGUUGGAGGAUUAACAAUUAAAACACACAAAAAACACACUAUUUUAUUUCUUCAACAACACUCCUCACCAAUUACAACUCUUAUUUUUCACUCUCUACACCUUAGAGAUUUUGCUGCUUCACUUGAUGUUUAAACCAAAGGGGAGAGGGGGUAUUUAUACAUGAAACAAACUAAUCACAACCAUUAAUUUAUUCAACUAAUAAACACAUCCUCACCAUCCAUUAAAACCUACUACUCACCUACUUCACCAACCACACCUAACACACCUAACACAAAUAAUUCAAACCUCACCAACCAUACCUACUCAUGGAACCUUCCAUGAGUUGGGCUUGAUUUAUUCAUCUUGGAUCAAGUUUAUGAUCCAACACCAUUAUCCUAUUACUCUUAUUUUAUCACAUGCAGAGACGUCAACGUUUGAUUCGCACGGAAAAAAAUUUGCGAGGAUUGUGAGGGUUGAUUCAAUAUAAUUUAGAUGCAAAGUGUUUACAAGUGCGAUGCUUCGUAAGUGCACCCGAAUCAUUAUAAACUCACCUUAUUUUCAUAGUGAUUAUUUCAUCUGCAUGUGAAUAUAAUCAUAUGUGGAGAUUUUUUUUUUCCCUAAACGAUGAUCUUCUCUAGUAUUGAGGUGUUAUAUCUUUUAAAUUAUAAUUAUUAUUAGUAAAAAACUGCAACUAUGAAAAAUAAAUUUAAUAUUAUGUCCUGAAUAUAAUUGUUAAAUAAUAAUUUUGACAAAAUUAAUGAAUAUAUACAGAUUUUUUUAUCAUAUAAAUGUAAAAUUAUAUCAACUUAGCUUCUAAGCUAUACAACGGUUACUAUUUACUAAAUACUUUAGUGUCGUAGUUUUUAAGAUAUAUUUAUCCACCCUCAAUCCCAAACAUAACCUGUAAGGAUAAAAAAUUUCAUCCUAAAAAUUAUACGUCUUGUGACUUAUUUAAUUUAUAUUUUUGUUAUUUAUAUUUAUUAAUUAUAGUCAUCUUUUAAUAAAUUACAAUUGAAGGAAGGUGGUUGAUGUUGUCGAGACACACACACAAAGAUAUAUUGGAAGUGCUUAUGUCCACUCGAAGUUGUGGGGAGUUAAUGCAUGUAUUGAUUUAUUGGGAGUGUUAAUGCAUGUAUUGAUUGAUUGAGUGAUUGAAUACUGUUUGAUUGCUUCAUAUCAAUUCUAGAAAGUUUAUUUCUUUGUGAAAUUUCAACGAAACGUGUUUUUUAGAAUAAUAAGGGUGUUUUAAGUAAUUUUAAAAAAUGAAUGGACUAAUUAGAAUUAAUUAUUAGGUAAUUAACUCGAAUUGUAGAGGGUAAGCAAACAUUUAUCCUAAUUAUAUUAUGAUAAAUCCUUUUCCAAUUAGAAUUAGGAAACCAUAGAUAUACUGAAUUUUUUUUUAUUUCCCUUCGCGAAAACGGAUCAGAGAAUUAGAAAACAAUCCUAGUGAUACUAUUGUUAGGUUUAAAACACUGCAUAGAUGGUAAAAACAUUGGAAUUGAUGUAGAUUAAUUUGUUAAUUGCUAUCGUACUGAACAUUGUUUUAUGCAAAUUAAUUUGAGAAUUAGAAAAAAGUUUGUUGCAUGCAAACUUUUUGUUUUAUGCAAAUCGUACUGAACAUUGGGACUGAUGUUUAAGAAAAAAAUUCUGUAGUUAAAGAAAAACAAAAAGGCAUGUUGAAUAGAUUACGAUAGUUUAUUCAAUUGGGAAUUUUUUUUCUUUAAUUUUUGUUGUACUUGAUUGAGAUUUCUCUUUAGUCCUUUCGUACUUCCUUUGUAAGCUGAGUAUAAGGAUGAAAUUCUUUUAAGAAAUUAAAAAAGAAAAAAAAGCAUGCCACUACGCAAUUAUAAAUAACCACAAAUAAAUAUAAACAAAAUGUUUAUGAAGUAAAUUAAACAUGCACAUAUUAUUUUCUUUUAUUUGCUGCUUGGAAACCCAUAAAUGCACUAAUCCAAUAUUACAAUUAAUUUCAAACAGAAAAAAUUGAACUCUAGGCUGCAGUUUGACUCAAAAUGAUGACCACUGGCUUCGCACCAUUCAACCGGUAUACAUUUCUACAAACCGAACAACGCUAUUGAUUUUUAUUUUUUUUUUUAAUUUGUCUAUAAAUUACUAUUUUAAUUUUCACUUUUUAUUGGGUUGUUUAACGGAUUAGUGAAGCUGGUGGUCGUUGAUGCACUCAUAAGGUACAAUUUUAUUUUAGAAUUUCAAAUUCGUAUUUUAAAAUGCAGGCACAUUAUGUAUACAUAAUUAUUGAUUUUCAUAUGUGGGUGUUUUGAAAUAUUGCCAAAAGACCAAACUUUAAUAAACUAUUUUUGAUUUUUUUUUUCCUUUUUACCUAAAGUUGGAGUGAUAUCCGCAUUUUAAAUUCAUGUGGAACAAAGCUAAUGUAAGCACAAAAUUCUUUUAUUUUUUCCGAGAAAAAUGGGUAAGAGAAGAAGAUUUUUCUCUUGAAAAAUGAAAAAAAAUACAAUGCAAGCAUAGGAAAGAGGUCAGUGUUUUGGAUUUGAAUUUAGUAUUGAGCUGAAUUUUAUGCUAAGCUCUUUUAUAGUACUGCGAUUAAUAAGCUAGCUCAGGAUUUGCUUUUGCUUUUACUUCAAGUAAAAGAAAGAGGAAGCCUUUUGUUUUUUUGUUUGAUUUUUGACUAUAUAUGUUACCUAUAUAGAGAGUUGAGGUAGCAGCCUUAAGUGAUGGUGAUAAAAAGAUUAAGCAGUGCACACAAUCUUACUGUCAUCCAGACCAUCCAGUGAUGGCUCUAGUUUUUUUGUUACGUUAGCUUUAGUGGAAAGAAGGGCCAAUUUAACAAAGACUAGAUUUGGUGGCUUACUAUGUUUAAUGUAAUGCUUAUUCUCAGCGCACACAAUCUUACUAUGUUUAAUGUAAUGGUUAUGUUGAAUGAUCUUCUAUGAUUGUGAGUAGUAUAGUAUAAUUGAAAAGGGCCUGGGCUCCUAUGAUGAAUAACAGUAACACAUUACUGUGAUUGAGAAAACUCAGUUCCAAUAAACUCUUCAUUUACUCAUUGCGGAGAUCGAAUGGCAAACAGAGAAUAGAAUGAAGCAGAAGAAUCUCAUUGUUAGGUUUUGAUGAUUUCAGAUGCUUUUUUUUUAAAAAAAAAUUGUGACAUCUUUGAUUUACGGCAGUUUUGCAGAAAAAAAAAACAUAUAAAAAUUAAGAGGGAUGAGUUAACUGACGAUUACAAUCAUUACAGCAAUGCUGAUGAGUGAUAUAUCACUUGAAAUUUACUUGUCAGUUGCUGAAAUGAUGAAAAAAAACCAACAAACGAUAACAGUAAUAAUGUUCCCUUGCUGAAAUUCAAUUUUGACUUUCGACUCUUGGCUUUUAUGGAGAGUAAAAUGACUUGUAUAUUAUACUCAUACAAUCCACUCUACAUAAUGAUAUCGUUUUAAUAAGGCAAUGGCUGAUGAUCUCCAUUUAAAAACUACAUCAAUUUUUUUGCUUCAUUUAACUUUUUGGUUGUUGAAAAUAACCUUAAUUAUCAAAUAAUUGGAGAAAGAGUUAAGAACAUUUAACAAAUUUAUGUGCAAAAAAAAAAAAAAAAGGAAGAAGUUGAAGAGAAAGGGUGCUUGCAGAAGUGGGUGUCAAAGAUAAAUCGGUCCAUAAGAAUUAUUGUGGUUAUUUUUUGGCAAUAUAAAAAUUUUUUAGCAAGUAAAAAUAAUUUUUUUUCCGAUUUACUAAAAAAUUAACUAAAAACUUCUGCGAUGUCAUUUUUUAUGGGUGCAUAUACCCUCCCUUUAAAAAAUUUAUAAUAAUUACUGCUUAAUAUAGUAUUAAAUACGAAAAAUAUCAAUAUUUGACUACUCAAAUUUAUAUCAUUAGGUCCUUAAAAUUUAAAAUGGAAGAUAUGAAAGGAAAUAUAUAUAAAUUUCAUUGUCCUGGGAAAGGACCCUCUUAUUAUCUUAUAAUAUUUGAAAUUUGAUAGAUUUUUUGAAACAAAUGUACUUUUAUUUGUGUACAAUCAAUAUUUACUCAUUUAUUAUAUUUUAAUUUAUUAACUAUCAAUCAUGUAAGUAUACUUAGUCAAAAAAAUUAUAUCAAGAGAGAAUUCUAAUUUCACGCAAAAACAAAUACCAAAACAAAUAUCUCAAUUUCUAUACUAUUCACUUUCCUGUAGAAUCAAUUAUUUAAAAUGCAAGUUUGUGGCUACAGAAAACUCGCCAAAGAAAGAAGAUAAUAACAAUUGAGCAUUGAUGGCAAAACUAAUGCAUCCAAUUCUUCUUGACUUGAUGAGAUGGCGCCAUAACGUAGAAACAAGUACCUAAAUUGACCGGCACUGAGUGGUGUGAAUACUACCAGCCAGUUCAUCUCUUCCAGUCUUGCUUAAUCACAAUCACAAACACCACGAGAUCGACAUUUGCAUUAUAUAUAUCUUCUGCAAUCGAAACACCUUGCAUUACCAAAUAAGCCCGUAACAGACAAAGCAAUCUUUCAUGGAGAGAAACCUUAGUCUCAGUAUGAUCACUGUGUCAUUAACGUACUGCCUGCUUCUUUGCUUGGUUGCUGCAGCAGCAGCAGCGGCAAGCAACAAUAUUACCACAGACCAACAAGCUCUUCUUGCCCUGAAAGAUCAUAUAAUUUAUGAUCCGACCAGCCUUUUAGCUCACAAUUGGACCUCGAAUACCUCUGUUUGUACCUGGAUUGGCAUCACUUGUGAUGCCAAUAGCCAUAGAGUCACAACCUUAGAUAUUUCUCAAUUCAAUCUACAAGGCACCAUCCCUCCUCAACUUGGGAACCUCUCUUCACUCACAACACUUAAUCUUAGUCAUAACAAGCUUUCUGGAAACGUUCCCUCCUCCAUCUACACCAUGCAUACGCUAGAAUUUCUUGACUUCACUGAUAACCAGCUCUCUGGUUC
rnacentral:lncRNA from 1 species